ACGCAACAAUAGCUCAUGGGUACCACAGAUAACUUUGCCAAAGUUCUCUGCCAAAGUUGAGCACGUGAAACUUGCAGCUCCCACUACAUUGCUCUGACCAAGAAAGGUAAAAGAAUAGCAAAGAAACAGCACUAACAAAGUUUAGACACAUAAAUUUUGAAGGUCUAGCUACCAUAUUAUUACCCACAAGGGUAAAGGAACAGUACCACUGCUGGAUAAUUGAAAAGUCCCUGUGUGUCAACCUCUGUGCUUCGUGGCAAGGUAGACUAGCAAACAUGCCCAACCUUUACUCACAUUCGAGAAAACACUCCCAACAAGAUUGCUUGCUCCAAAAUCGAAGAGGCACCGUCAUCCGAAUCUCGAGAGCCAGACUCCCAACAUGACUACUUUCUCAAAAUCGAAGAGAGGGUAAAGGAACAGUACCAUUGCUGGAUAAUUGGAAAGUCCCUGUGUGUCAACCUUUGUGCUUCGUGGCAAGGUAGACUAGCAAACAUGCCCAACCUUUACUCACAUUCGAGACAACACUCCCAACAAGAUUGCUUGCUCCAAAAUCGAAGAGGCACCGCCCUCCGAAUCUCGAGAGCCAGACUCCCAACAUGAUUACUUCCUCAAAAAUCGAAGAGACACUGCUCUCCGAAUCUCGAGAGUCAGACCCCCAGCAUGAUUGCUUUCUCAAAAAUCGAAGAGGCAUCGUUCUCCGAAUCUCGAGAGCCAGAUACCACAGACCACUUUUUCAAAGUGCUCUGACAGAGUUAAAACAUGUGAAACUGACAGCUCCCACUACCGUGCUAUGACCAAGCAGGGUAAAGGAAUAGCAUUACUACUUGUUGUUAGGGAGACUCCUAUAUAUGUCGACCUCCAUCCCCAACGGACAGGCAGACCUGCAAAAAUGCUCAACCCUUCAUCAUAUCUGAGAGGGCACUCCCAACGAAGCCUUUCGAAAUAUUCAGCUUUCUUUCCCCCCGAUAAUACCUCUGCAAACAAGCUAUACUAGAGCAAGAAUAUCUCAUAUCAUCAGGGUUAAAAGCAAGAGUAUCCCAUAUCAUGCUUUUUCCCUGUCUUUUCUUUUGGCCUUGUUUUUACCUGCAAGACAAGGAGAAAGAGAGCAAUCAGUCAGCACUUGGAAUCAAGCUUCCAGCUAGGAACUGACUGCCUGGAACCCCUUACCUGAUUACUUACCUGGCAUUGCUCGAGUACUCAUCUUCAACAUCUUAUGUUUCCAGGGAAGAUUCCGCAUCUGCUUGAGGAACAGAUAGAGCAAGUGCAAAGGAUACAAGGAAGCAUGUGGAGACAAGCGUAACAGCACACGUGCCGAUACAUCCAUUACUCUGUCAAAAGCAAAAGUAUCCCAUAUCAGCAGGGUGGAACGUACUCUAGAUUUGAUGGACUUGUUUUGACCCUCAAAUUCUUCAGUCGGCCUUAUACUCUGGAGGAAACCAGAAAACCCUCCAGCUCAGUUCAAGAAUAAGCCUGUGGAAAGUUACUUCUUCAAAAGCAAAAGUAUCUCAUAUCAUCUCUUCUCAUUUUUCUUCUCUUUAUCCUUCAUGCUGCUGCAAGAUGGGGAGAAGGUGAACAAUCAGUCGGAGCUCUGAUUGCUUACCUUGUCUGUCACCUCUUUCAGCAGACCCCCCUAGCUCGGCGACUUGGGGGACUCCUACUACAUGGUUUGUAUCGCGCUUGACCAAGCCUGAAACUACAAGUAAGCUUCAAGUGAAAUUGAUACAUUACCUUGUGCAUCUCCACCAGUUAAAGAUACCACCCCUGGAUGGAGGAAGAGUACUUCCAGAGAAGAUGCCACAUCUACCUAUGAGACGGAUAAGGCAAGUCAAGACGACACCACACUCCGAUACUUAGAAGUUUCGUGAUUACGAGAUCAUUCUCCCACAAUAUUUCCUAAUGUCAUUUGUACUAAAUCAUUCACUUGUACUCACUAAAGGAGAGCUUGAACCUAUGUACUUGUGUAAACCCUUCACAAUUAAUGAGAACUCUUCUAUUCCGUGGACUUAGCCAAUCUGGGUGAACCACGUACAUCUUGUGUUUGCUUUCCUAUCUCUAUCCAUUUAUAUACUUAUCCACACUAAUGAUCGGAGCAAUCUAGCGAAGAUCACAAAAAGCGACCGUUUUCGCUACCUAGGAUCUAUCUUGCAAGAGAACGGAGAAUUAGAUGGAGAUCUCAACCAUAGAAUACGAGCUGGAUGGAAAGAGUGCAUCCGGCGUGUUGUGUGACCGUCGUAGGCCACUGAAGCUCAAGGGAAAAUUUUAUAGGACGGCAAUAAGGCCAGCGAUGUUGUAUGGCACAGAAUGUUGGGUGGUGAAGCAUCAACACGUACACAAAAUGGGUGUAGCGGAGAUGAGGAUGCUUCGUGGGAUGUGUGGGCACACGAGAAAGGAUAAGAUUGGGAAUGAGGAUAUCCGAGGUAAAGUAGGAGUAGCCGAAAUUGUAGGAAAGAUGAGAGAAAAUCGGCUCCGGUGAUUUGGACAUGUGCAAAGAAGGCCGACUGACGCUCUGGUUCGAAGAUGUGACUACGGGACAGAGGUUCAGGGCCGAAGGGGUAGAGGAAGACCUAGGAAAACUUUGGAAGAGACUCUAAGAAAAGACUUAGAGUACUUGGAUCUAACGGAGGACAUGACACAAAACCGAGCGCAAUGGCGUUCUAGGAUUCAUAUAACCGACCCCACUUAGUGGGAAAAGGCUUUGUUGUUGUUGUUGUUGUUGUUGUUGUUGUUGUUGUUGUUGUAUCAUUGUAAAGGAGCUGGGCAAGGGUUGUCUUACCAACUCCCCCCAUCCCAACUAUGGCGAGUACGGAUACGUUAUUGCUACUAAUUGUAUCAUCAGAUAGCAACAACCUUGUCAACUUUUCUUUAUCCCCGUCCCUACCACAAGGACUAAAUUCAUGCUCAACAAGGGAAGUUGUGAGUUUUCUUUGAGAAACAUUCUCCUUAACACCUCCUACAAGACCAAGGAGAUCUUUUUGUUUGGCAAGAUGUUCUAACCUUUGGAAUAACUCUUGUAUCCUACCAUUCAUGCCUUGACAAAAAGGACUAAAAGAAGUAGAGAGGAAGUUCCACACCUGGGACGUCUUUUUGGUUUGAUAUUCAUCAGCUUCCACCUUGCUUCGCAAAACUUCAGUAUCGAUCUCAGCCAGAAGGUCCUCGGCAUCGAAGACGGCAUGUUUGAGCUCGUCGAGCCACUUUCUCACACGAGGUUUCUCAAUUUGCUUCUCCUCUGCAUCAUCGAGCACUGCAUCGAGGGUCAGAAAAGUCAGCUUCAGUUUCUCCAAGAGUGAAUGGUCAAGCUUUUUUCCCCGUAAGAAGUCCAUGAACUCCCCAGAAGCAAUCUUGUCGCACAGCGUCUGAAUGGAAGCGGAGAGAAAAGCCUCUCCAAUCAAAGCUCCUGCCAUUUCUCUCUCUCUUUCUCUCUGUUUUUUUUUUUUUAUCUUCAAAGAAGUGUUGAGGUGAGGAAGAAGAAGAGUCUUAUUAGCUUAAUUUCGUUUCGGAAAGAGACCCCACACGUUAAUCAAAGAGUCUUAUUACCUAUAAUUUAAGUGACAAUUUCCUAGUAGUUGGUUUGGUUGGUGUGAGAGUGCGGGUUGGGUGGCUAUUUUUUAGUUAUUAACCAUAACAUCACUUUUGUUUGUUGAUAAUUUGAUAUUAAGCCGCGUUGGAAUUUUGCUUUUGGGCGGAUACAACACAGGAUCUUUAAAUUGAUCACCUAAUUAAUUAAAAUUAAAAUUGUAAUCUUUUGUUUAUUAUGUUAUCAUGUCAUCAUGCAUGUGAAAAGAAGUCACACUGACCUGGUUAAUUAAUAUAUUGGAGUUAUAUUACAAGUUGUUAAACUCAAAAAUAGAUGGGAUCUCUUUUUUUUCAUCCCUUGCCAGGUCUUAUAAUUGGCUUGUAAAAUAGGAGAGCUUCAACUCGAGUCCAAGCAGGCAACAAUACAAAGCCUUUCAUCAAAAUUUUGUCAUCCAAGUGCACCUAGCAAUCCCUUCUUCUAGUUGUCCACCCAUUUUUCGAUUGGUUACCAAUUUCUUCUUUUGCAGUAUGUCGAGAUUAAAAUGAAUAAAAGUGAAUUAAAUUAGUAUCAUGCAUCGUACAAAGACAUACUUAGAACGAUAAUUACAAUAAAGGAUGUUAUCAGUACUUUGCUUCAACAUCAAACACCAAAUAUAUUGUUGGAAACAAAUAGCAAGAUAAUGCAUUUACAGAUAAUAUUUUUUUAGAGUUUAUUGCCUUCAUCGUGAGAUGAUGACCGCGAUUUCUAUUAAUUUUGAGCAAUAUAGAUAUUAUGAAUAUCUGAUGAAUGAAAAAAAUGGAAUGCCAAAAACAGCAAUGUACUGAGACUUAUAAAACACCAAAGUUUUAAACAUGAAGAUUAAAAAGAUACUUAUGACAAAAAGAAUUUUUGGCAUUUUAGCUAAAAUGAUCUCUAAGAUUGAUAUAACUCAUCACUUUUGGUCUCCGAGAUUUGAAAUUAAUAGAGGUGAUCCUUAAGUUUGACUAUCAUCAAUCAUUUUGUUCAUUCUGUAAAAAAAAAUGUUACAUAAGGACCAAAAUGACAAAAAAAACCCUUAAUUUAAUAAAAUAUGGCCCAAAAUGAUUUUGACAAAAUUAAGAUCAUUUUUAUCAUUUUAUCCUUAUUUAACAGAGAUUUUUCGCAUAAUAGUCAAAAUGGUUUAUGGUGGAUAAACUCAGCUCAAGGACCAAUUUUAUUAAUUUUAAAUCUCAAAACUAAAUUGAAAAGUUAUAACAAUCUCAGCUUCAACUUCUCCAUGAGUGAAUGGUAAGUUUUUCCCGCCGGAACAAGUCCAUAAACUCGUCAGAAGCAAUCUUGUCGCACAACCUCUGGAUGGAAGAGGAGAGAAAAACCUCUCCAAUCAAAGCUCUUGCCAUUUUCUCCCCCUCUCUUUUUUUUUUUUUUUUUUUUCGGUCCUUCAAAGAAAGUGUUGAGGUGAGGAGGUGAGGAAGAACAAGAGACGACUUGAUACACUUUUGGUCAAUAAUUGAGUGGACCCCACACGUUAAUCAUAGAGUCUACUUUUUUUUUAAUUUUUUUUUAUAACAUAUCAGUCUUAAGAAUUUCUUAAUAGUUGGUGUGAGAGUGACAGAGUGGGUUGGGUGAAUUUCAGUGGACCUCACACGUUAAUCAUGCAUGUAAGUAGCAAUCACAUUGACUUGGUUAAUUAAUAGAUUGCAGUUGGACUAUAAAAAUAGGAACAAUUUUUCUUUGUAUCUGGAACACGAGUGGUAUAGUGUAUGUCAUUAUAUAAGUGAAUGAAAAUUUUAUUUUUUAAGUUGUUAAUAUUUUAAUAUAAGUAUCCCACAACUCGUAUAGUGACACGUGAUGUAUCACUUCGUGUUCUGAUUGCAUUGAAAAAUUCUCUUCAAAAUAGAAGGGCUCUCUAUUUUUACUCCAUUUGCUAGGAUAGAUUUUUCAUUGUGAUCAGAACACGAGUGAUAUACCAUGUGUUUUAUAUAAACGGUGAGAAAUUUUAUUUUUUAAGUUAUUAACUUUUUAACACACAUAUCCCAUCACUUAUAUAGUGACACGUGAUGUACUAACUCGUGUUCUGUCAUUAAAAAAUCUCUCCCUUGCCAAGUCUAAUCAUAUGGUCUAUGGGGAGAUCAAAGCUUCUACGCCCAAAAUGGGCGUGGUAUCUCUAUACCUCAAAUUAUUGUUUGACACACAUUAAGUCUAUGAAAACAAAGUUAAGAAUAAUUGGAGCCAAAGAGAGACUACACUCAUCUUAGAGACAGAAAAUUUGAUCACGUUCUAGAAAUGUCAAUGGGUUGUAAAAGGAGUGAUAUUCACACACUCUUUUUUACUUCUCACAUACCAUUUAUUAAUUUAUGUUAUUUAAUUUUUUUUAAUACAUUCGAUCUGACGGCCUAAAAUUAAGAAAACAUAUGAUAAGUAAAAAGAAGUGUGUAAACAAUAUAUUUCGCCGUAAAUUAGGGGAACUUUAACUCGAUUCUAAGCAGGCAACAAAACAUUGUCUUUCAUCAAAAUUUUGUCCUCGAAGUGCGCACCCUAAGCAAUCCCUUCUAUUUGUCCACCCAUGACCCAUCCUUUUCAAUUGGUUACUAAUUUCCUCUUUUGCAGCCCGUUUAGACCAAAAUGAAUCAAAGUGAAUUAAAUUAGUAUCACGCGUCAUAUAAUAUGUGUUCACGCUCAGAAUGAUAAUUACAUCGAACAAAAUAAUAUGCGUCAACUUCAAACAACAAACAUAUCAUUAAGAAUAAACAGCAAGAUCUUGCAUCUAUGAAUCCUAAUUUUUAGAGUUUACAACCUUCUUCGUGAGAUGACUCCAAGUUCUAUUAAUUUUGAGCCACAUAGAUAUUAUGAUGGAUGAAAAAAAUGAAGGCAAAAAAACAGCAAUGUUCCGUGACUUAUGAAACACCCAACUUUGAACAUGAAAAUCUGAAAGAUAUUUCUCUAAAAACAAUUUAUUUUAAAGAAAACUUAGAAGGCCUCACUAUAAACAUAAACGAUCUGGGAGGGAAUAAACAUUCGGGAAGAGGGAGAGAGUUUAGAGAUGUGGUUUUGUGGCGUUUGGUACUUGGAGUGAGACGGAACAGGUUCGUCUCACGUUUGGUGCGACAAAAAAAUGAGACGCACCUAUUCUUAGAAUGAAUUUUAGUUUAAUUUUUGUACCACGCUCCCUCAUGAAAAAUGACUUAUUUCACUCCAUGGAACGAACUUAUUUCACCCCAUGAAACACAAAAAUACCCCUGCUGUUUUUCAAUAAUUCUACUACCAAAUCAUAAAAACAAACCCUAAUCUUGUGUCUUUCUUCUUUCCUAGUAGCCUCUCUCUUUCUCUCCCCGUCUUCUCGGCGGAGAGGCUCCAUUCUCUACUUCGUUCACUACCUCUCUCUUCUCUCGUCGCAGCAUCUCAAUAUCUUCCCGCUUUGAUUUAAUUGUCAGUUUUUCUGAGUUGGUUGUGAUUUUCCUCAUUCAGUUAACCAUGGUUUUUUUAGGUGUAGAAGUGGAAACCCCUAGAAAUUUAUGGGUUUUCACUGAAAUUGAUUUUCCGUACCACAAGCUUUGUACUGUUUGGGGUUAAGGGUGUAAUUUAGAGGUAUACAUCCAUUUCUGUGUUUAAGUUUAUGCAACUAUUGGCUGAGAAAAUGAAUCGUUUCUUAAUUUUUCCUUCUUAUAAGCUAAAGAGAAUAUGGCUGCUGCGAUGAAUGUGAAAUAAUUACCCAGAAAUACAUUAUUACCCGGAAGAACCUAAUAAACUUCUUCAUUACCAACAAAUAUUAAUAUUCAUUAAGUGUCAUUGUCACAAAUAUAUCAUAAAAUAAGCAAGGAUAAGUUGGCCUUUUAAUUUUUUUGUUCUAUUCCGCGUGAACUAUCAAACGCGAAACAGAACAAUUGACUCAUUUCAGCAUGUAUGUACCAAACUAUAUUCGAACCUCUGCUCCAUCCUAUUUCUAUCCCGUCUACACAUCAAAUGCUACUUUAAUUCUUUUUAAAUUUGAAUUUUUAAUUUUUUUAAUCUUAUUUUAUUUCUGUGAUUUUAAAUGCCCAUAAACUAACUGAAUAGUGGAGCAAAAGUGGAGAGAUUUCACCUGGAAAUUGUAUUAAUGGUAUCUCAACUUUAACUCAAUUAGAGCAAUGAUCAUUCAACUAAAAAUUCCUAAUCAUUGGUCACUUUACUCAACAAAACGUGCAACUAUGGACAUUUUCAACAACUCUGUCAGAACUUUCGUCAAAAUGAGACUAAAUCAAGGGGCAAAUAUGAAAAAUCAAAUGAGAAAAAUUGCAGCAAUGAUCCCUCAACUUUAACCCAAUUAUAGCAAUGGUUCUUCCAACAUGACUUAUUUUGACGGAGUUUAUAAAAAUGAUCAUAGUUGCAUGUUUUGAUAAGUAAAAGGGACUAAUAAUUAUGAAUUUUUAGUUACGGAACUAUUCCUCCAACUGAAUUAAAGUUAUGUUACUACAAUUUCUCUUAGCAGCAAUGGGGGUAUUUAGCCAUAAAUAAAAGUAUAUAAUUAAAUUUCAAGGGAAAAUUCGACAAAUAGUUAAAACGAAACUAAAAAUCAGACUUGAAAGUAUAACUUCAAACACAUUAUUUGGUUUUAACGAAAAACAAGUCUAAUUGAAGCAACAGAAAUGUGUCCCGCCACUAAUCACCGCGCCUUCUCUUGAAGCGCUUACUCUCUCUCUCUUUCUCUGUCUAUCUCUGAGUUGCCGUAGCAUCGACCACUCCAGAAAACCGUACGUCUCCAGGUGCCUCACUCCGCAUUCAAAGUGAAGCCUUUUUAGGGUUUCAUUUCAGCAGGGCCUCUUUGGAGUGUUGCAAUUUUCAAGCUAUAAACUUUUCCCUUAUCAUCCCACUUCCAGCAUUCUCAAAUUUGCCAUAUUUUCCUUAUCUUCAACGCCUUUGUCCUUUUCGCAGAAAGCCCGUCGCCAAUUGAUUCAAUCCGUAGCAGAUUUUGGCGCGAAGAAGCUCCAUUGAUCCCGAAUACACAAAUGUGUUGGAGCAAUGAAUAGGGCACCUCAUAUGAGGCAAGAGUAAGAGGAACAAAGAAAUAGCCUUUUUACUUUGCAUUAUACUCCCAUUGCUUCCAUUGUUAUUUAUUUGGAAUUCGGGUAUGUUCAGUCGUCCCAAUCUGGGUCAAGAUUUCUGUGCCCGGACGCCUGUUAAAGCUGAUUUGUUGGAACAUGUCAAUGCAAUUGAUAAUUUCUCGUGCCCGCAUAGUGUUCUGAGUUCAAAUUUUAUUUUCUCCUUACCAACACAAAAACCUCUGGCCGAAGAGGCAAUGGUUUCUGGGGUAUGUCGCGGUUAUACGUGUUUUGUUUCAUUUUUGUUUGUUUGUUUUUUUUUUUUUUUUUUUUUUCGUGUACUGUUAUUUUUUUUUAUCUUGAGGAUUACUUGUUAUUUGGUGACAACUUGACAUCAGUUUUUGUGUUUGGUGAUUGUGGUCUUUUGCUUGGGUAAAAUAUAGCUCUUGUGUUUGUGUUAGUUACAUGAUUUAUUGUUUGUUUCAGCUAAUUUUAAGUUUCAUCAUACCUUAGCGAUCAGGGCCGGUUCUGAGAUUUUAGGGGUAUGGGUCCUUGCAUAAAAGAAUCCCGCUAUAGUGAAGCUAAUUUAUGUGUCUAUAGUUGUAUUAAUAUGGUAUCUAAAUAGAGUAUUAUUACUCAUGAGUUAUGGUUCAAAUCAACACUAAUCAUGAAAGUAAAACGCAAUUUAGAGCUAAGCCAUCAGAACCAAACUAAGAAACAUAAAAGUGAUUCCUCUAAUACAGAUGGAGGCCAUUAUUCUCUUAUUCACAUACAAAUCCUAAAAAAUUUCCCUAAGAUGAAUUCUUUUUACGGAAACCAAGUUGGUACAUAUAUACAUAUGAUAUCAUCAUUUAGGAACCCCUUAAGAUUGGGGGCCCUGUGCAAGGGCACCUAUUGCACAUGCCCAAAGCCGCCACUGUUUGUGAUAGAUAUAUAUAAUAUAUCAUUUUAAGAAUGGAUGUGAAUUCCAUUUUUUGUUUUCCUCGAAUCAAUCAUUUCUGACUGUUGGAUACUCCUAGUUCUUGAUGGUAGACAUGGAUUUUUAUGCAACUAUCGAUACUACUACCUCAAAGCAUUUAACCUGGUAUGUAUCUUGGUUCUCUUUAUGCUUUUAGCUCAAUGGCUUGUCCAAUUCAGAAUACUGAAAUAUCUUUGAGGUUGUGAUAAAAUCUAUACCUAGUAAUAGAUGGUUAAGUGAAAACAAUAUUGGUGAAUGAAUGAAUGAAUGACAUGAUAGGCAACACCUAGUAAUGAUAACACCCGCAUUUAGUAAUCUUAGGCCUAAAAAGUUUGUCAUGUUGAGCAUGUUAUUCUUUUGACAUGAAAUGAAUGAAUGGAUACGCUCUUCAAAGGUUGUGUUUGCUCUGGCAUAAUAAAUGAGUUAUUGGUUUUGUUAUUCCACACUUAGGAAUUAAAUAGUAGUGCUACGUACUAUCCUAUGCAAGUCUUAAGAUAUUUAACUAUCAACUGUCAUAUCAAGUGGUCUACAAAAUAUUGUCUAAAAACAUAUUCUCCGUAGCAUUUUCCUUAAAAUUUUAGUUUGUCAACCAAAAAGUAAAUAAAUUUUUAGUUUUACGUGCUAGUGGAGUACACGUAGCAUGAGUAGAAGUGAAAAAGUUAAAAUAAGGUUGCUAACACUCCCCUUCAUAUUUUAGCAAAGCUCAAUAAUCAUUUCAUAUCCUCACAUAGGUUAACUGAAACAAUUAUUCUAUUCAACUUUAGGUCAAUAAUUUUUUUUCUCUAACCCAUGCUCUUCAACGUAUCUGCAGCAUCUACCUGAAGAUUAAAGUUUAAUUGAAAGAUGAGAAAAUCAUGCCGCCGUAUUCAAACAACACCAGUACGUGAAAACCAUCAUCCUCGGUUGGCGUUACCUUUUUCGAUGCAGAAGCAUUAUAUUCGUGCUGGAUAGGCAGAGCCACUGAGCGACAUUCAAGGACUACUACUUGUCGUAGUUUUGGUUCCCUCAGAUAAUCACGUCUUUACAUUUCCACUGAAUGCACAUAAAUAAGUCACUCCCAUCACAAACUGUCCAGGCCGUCCGCUUCAUCCGUUUCCUCCAUGCGUUAGUUCUCGAAGAACAGAUUCAGCUUGGGACUUUUCAAUUUUAAAAAACUAGAGUAAAAACAAACAAGAAAAAAAAAAUCAAGUGAAUUGGAAGUUCAGGAAUGAUUUAGCACCAAAAGCAAUUAAAACAUGUCUAGAGCAACAUUUUGAUCAAGUAUAUAAUAGAACAAAAGUAAGAAUUACCUCUCUAAAAGUUUUACAGAACAAAAAUUGGACAGCAUUUCCCACAUCCUCAGCAGCUAAUGGUGGCCUGGGGUAGGGGAAGCUCAAGAUCAACCUCUCUGCUCUCAACACGGAGUUCCUUGCCCCUGUGGCACCCUCUUGCAGCCUUGUCCUUGCCCUUGGAAUCAUUCUCAUUCACAGCAGCACCACCAUCUCUGCUGCAUUACAAGUUUCCAUCAACUCGUCCUGCUUUGCUGCAUCCGAGUACUUCACAUCUUCGCUCUGAUCAAGGGCUUUCUUCCCUCAUUUGCUAGGUGAAUCAACACACUUUGCCUGCCAAAACUCGAGACCAUAAGCCCUCUUAAACAGAAUUAAAACCAACCAACAACAUCAAUAUGCACCAUCUCUGCUGCCAAAAUCAACCUCUUGAGUCUCAAUAUUCCAAGGCCACUCCUAGACUUUACGAUGCUUUAUGACUGCCUUGCCAUUGACAUCCUUAUUGCUCAUAGUAGCCGCACCAUCUCUGCUGCCAUUACAAAUUUCCAUUAACUCUUACUGCUUUUGUUUUCUUAGUUUCUUCCUGAUCAGAUUCGGAGAUGCAUCCACGUUCAUAUCUUUUCUUCCAUCAAGAGACUUCUCCUUCCCUCGUUUUCUUGGUGAACCAACACCAGUUUCCUAUCAAAACUUGAGGGCAUAAAACCGCUUAAACAUCACUAAAACCUUUUUUGAAUCCAUACAUUUUUGCGGUGAACCAUCCUUGCUUCAGACAUCCAUCUCCCCUUGUUUCUUCGGCUUGUACACAGUCGAAGGGACUGUUCGUAUUUUAUUAGAUUCCAACUCCAGUCGCCUGUCACCACCACACAUAGAAAACAUACGUUUUUGUCCUGAUACGACUCAAGGGAGAGCUCAUAAGAUCCCCAGUUGUAGAGCAAAAUGCUGUAAUCUCUCAGUUCUUUUCUUUAAGGAGAGUAUGUGGACAUUCCAACAAAAUUCAUGGAGGGCAAGUGCACAGUUAAUGCAAUGAAAGAAGACAGCUUUACCUUCAGAUCGAUGCAUUCUCCCACUUCAUUUCCACAUCAAGUUGUGAAAAUCCUGUUUCUUCUCAUAUCUGUUCCGAUAGGAUGCCAACACAAGUGCUUUUCUUUUUCAUACCCCAGCUCAACAUGUAUGAAUACUGCUAAAUUCCAACAAGGGCAAGCAUGAGGGUGGUGCUCCAUAGAAACCUGGCUCUCAUUUUGUUUUGUGGUCAUCGUCACCUGUUCUCACUUCAACAGAGCUGUGUAUGUACAAAAAUAUAUCUGCACCCACCCGAAGAUGGCAGCAACAUGAAGAGAAGAUGAAAAGGAAUGCUGCUUGUUUGAAAAUAAAGCAAUAUAUGAGUAAAACAUCAUUCCUGGGGUUACCUAUCCAAUUGAAGGAGAAUCAUAUUCAUGCCACACUGCAGGACAACCAUUCAUGGACAGCUAAUUGAUGGGCGUUAAAAUCAUUGGCCUUACAUAAUCCAAUCUUUACAGUUCCACAGUUUGCUAUCUGCCUCAGCAAAGCCUAUGAACACGUUAGUGACAUAAUUUUGCCUUGAAAGCAUAGUUGAAUUUCACUGUUAACAUUUGACUAGUCUAUAAGCCUAAAUGAUUAAAGACAAAUUCUACAGAUAAGGUGCAACAUAUUUACAAAGGCAUUAGGAAUAAUGCCUUCACAAUUUUCCCUACAUUUCCCAUUUUAUCAUCCCAAUCAAACUUUGAAAAUAAAGGUCGUACCCAGUGCACAACGCACAUAAAUAAGUCACUCCCAUCACAUUCUCCUGAAAAUUUUAAGAAACAUUUUUAUUUUAAAGGAAAAAGAAAACAGAACAAGAAAGCGAUGCAGUGUGCUGGGCCGAAACAAUUCAAUAGAAAUUUCUGCAGAUACAUGUGAUAAAUUUUUCUCCUCCAAACAUUUUUCUUUUUAAAGAAAAAGAAAACAGAACAAGAAAGCAAUGCAGUAUGCUGGGCCUAAACAAUUCAAUAAAAAUUUCUGCAGAUACAUGUGACAAAUUUUUCUCCUCUGCCCUGUUCCUUUUAUUUUAGUAAUUGAACUCUGAAACUUUGAAAAGAAUUCAGCGGGAUUGUUCACUCUCUCUUUAAAUCUUAGAUAGGGGAUGAAACAGGAUACUCCUCCGCUUUACAUCAUUAAAGUUACGAACCAGCACCAUUUAUGUGUGUGUACAUAUAUACACACACAUCAAUCAUUAAAGUUAUGAACCAGCACCAUGUAUGUAUGUGUGUGUGUGUGUGUGUUGCAACAAAAAAUAUGGCGAAACAACUAAAAAUGGUUAACUAAAAAAAUGAAAGAAAAAUCUCUAUGUAGAUUUUAUGUAGAAAAGUUGAGACAAUCAAUAUAACAAAUAAAAGAUAAAGUACCUGACAUUAGAGAGUUGAGAGUGAAAUGAGAAGCAAAAGUUUUGGUGAGAGAGAGACAGAGAUCAUAUCAUGAUGACUAUGUCAUCUCUCUUUAAGCAAGGAAUAUGAGCUAUCUUUCUCCAUUCUUUUCCUUCUUGGUCUCAUACCUCUUCUUCAUAGAGGGGCAUCUGGUGAUGUUCAGGAAAGAAAUAGAUGCCGGAAAACCCUGUUUUGGCAGGAAGUCGAGACUAUCACACCUUCCAAUAUAUAGCUUUUGAAGAGAAGUGCGGUGUUGAAGUCCAUUUCUGUCCAAAGAUUUCAGACUUGAGAGAUAAGAGAUUGCAAGAGUGUGAAGAGCGGUAAGAAGCAACUGUUCCUUGAGCAACGUCUUCAACACAUCCUCGCUGCUGAAUUGAAUCUUCGAAGGGAGACAAGCCGUUGCAAACCCCAGUUCUCCACUGAAGGCCUCAAUUUCUCACAAUCUCUGUUAUGAAAUGUUUGUAGGUUGGGAGGCAAACCCCUUUCACCAAAUGACACAAGAUUUGGAAGAUCCCAGGUGCUCAAUUUUUGAAGGGUGGUGCGGGUGACAGGUGUGCAUAUGUUUGGGCAAUAACUUCAUAUUAUCGAUCCCCAGACUCCAACAUGAAAUUUUUGCUAUCGCAUCCCUUUGACGUUGGCCAAUCUUUCAUUUUGCUCCCCAAUCCAUCCCCUCGAUGUCCUGGAGGAAAGACCGAAAAGAUCUUUUAACUUGAAAUGCAGAAAACAGGACAAUUACAAAAUUAUAAUUUGCAUAAUAUUUAUCUUCUAUUUACUUUGUGUUAAGAGCCUCAUCACAGAGGAAAUUUAAAAGCUUAAGGCAUCAUAUCCAUCCUCACCUCCACUAAAACACUCUGCGGGCAGAUCCUGCAGCCUUGCAACCCUGGACGCAGAGAUCAGGUUCUCCAAAUCUUGGAACCAUGAGCAGUUGGUGCUUGCUUGCUCUAGAGGCCUUAGGAAUAAUGCCUUCACAUUUUUCCCUACUUUUCCCAUUUAUCAUCGCAAUCAAACUCUGAAAGUGGAAACAAAAUUUAGACAUGAUUUGACAAGGAAAGAUAGCAAUGUGAAAGUUUUAGUGGGAGCAGAGUAGUAAUCACUUGAGGUGUACCAAGAUGCAAAAUAAUAAGAAAAUUUAGGAACCAGUUUUCCUAAAAUAUUGAGGAAACAACUCUAGUAGAGAAAUGCAAAUUUUACUUGUGAUGGAAAAAAAAUUUACAUAUAUAUCAAAGUCCUUCACAAAAAUUGCUUGUUUCUUCUCAUCGAUAUUGAAUGCAGAUGUCAACUCAAGCGCAUUCCUUUUUCAUACCUUGUCUCAGAAAGAUACCUUAAAUUCAAAGUUGAAGAUACUAUAAAUUAAUGAGUGAUCUAAGAAAACAAGCAUAUGUCUCAGUGGAACCUAAUUAUUAGCACAGCUUCUUCAAAUUAAAUUCCAGUUUGUUACGCGUUCAAGUUUGACAAUCUGGAUCUUUUCCUUAUCUUAAGAUGAAUGUGCAUUCUACCACACUCAAAUCAUAUCAGUAUGAGAAAGGGAAAAAAAACAUCAUCCAGGGUUACCUCCUCGCCCAUGCAGGAGAAUCAUAUUCUUGACAGUGACAAAUAGCCAUGGCACGAUUCGACAACUAGUAAUUUAUGUAAGCAAACACAUGUUGCCCUUGGAUGAUAUUGUCCUGAAAUUUAAGGACCAUGCUUUUGUUAGAGUAGCGUAGUUGAAUUAAACAAUUAAAAACUGACUGACUAAUUAAUUAAACAGAGUAUAAGUAUAGAUGACAGUAAACAAUUGAAGAGAAACUUUUACAGAAUUUGAAUCUUGCCUAUGGAAUAAACAUGGCGCUAUGCACGUACCUGACUUUGACUUGAGGCCUCAAAUGAUGAAUUGAUCAUCUAUCUUGAUGAGAGGAAUGUGAGCUAUCUUGCUCCACUCUUGUCCAGUCUUCUUCUGACACCUCUUCUUCAGGGAAGAACAGUUUUGGAUGCUCAGAAAAGAGAGCGAUGCCGGCAAACCCUCUUUUGGCAGGAAUUCGAGACUACGACACCCCUUAAUUUCGAGCUCUUGAAGACAAGUGAGGUGUUGAAAUCCCUUUCCCUUCAGAGAUUUCAGACUCGUUCCACAGAUUGCGAGAGUGUGAAGAGUGUUAGGGAGCAGCUGUUCCUUGAGCACCGUCUUCAACAGAUCCUUGCGGCUUGAGAUCCGAAAUGUUCGAAGGGAGACAAGUCGUUGCAAACCCCAGUACUCCACUGAAGGCCUCAGUUUCUCACAACCACUGAUUCGAAAUAAUUGUAGGUUGGGAGGCAAACCCCCUUCUGCAAAUGACUCAACAUUUGGAAGACCGGAUAUCUGCAACUCUUGAAGGGCGGUGAGGGUGUGUAUUCGGUCGGGCAAUAACUUUAAAUUCUUGCAUCUCAAGACUGCAAAAUGAGACAGUUUGGGAGUGGGCAAUCCCCCGUGGGGAAAAGAGACCAGAUUUGGACAGAAAUAGAUAAGGAGAUAGUCGAGAUGAGUGAGAUUUUCGUCAUCAGCUCCUUCUCCAAUGGCAAGGGAUUCUAGAUUUUUACUGCCCCAGAUCAGAAGAAAUGAAAGUUUGGGGAAAACGCCCAGCGGGAAGGACCUCAGUGAAUCACAGCUGUCCCUCAAUUUCAAAUGUCGAAGGGAUGUCAAUUUGGCCAUCAUCUCAUGAGAUAGGAAUUCUAAUCUCCUGCAAUUUUCUAUUCGAAGAUGUGUCAAAGAAGUGGGUAGACCGUUUCUCGGGAACGACAAGAGUGACGCGCAGUUAACGAGACUCAACUCUCGAAGACAACCGCUCAAGUGCGGCUGCAAGCAAUCUGUGCUACUAAAAAUUUGAACCUCAAGCGUCCAAAGCAAGCACAGCGACUCCGUCUCUAGUAACGACGAUAGACCUGGGCAUCUAACUAUGUUCAGGUGUUCAAGAGAUUGUCGCAAGGACUCCGUGUUGACGAUGAGAGACCAAGGUAUCCAUCUUGUUCUGGUAGCCCUUUCAUGUAGAACCCCGCAGUCUGACACCCAAAGCUGUCUCAAUGAAGGAAGAUGAUCGGGCAAGUUUCCCUUCAGCUUCGGACAAUUCACUAAAAUGAGCAGCUCAAGACGAGGAAAGUCUGGAGAUUGACCUCUACCUGGACUCGACAGCCAUUCCUCCCACUCCGGCAUCUCUUUGAACCCUAGCCUCUCGAGAGAUUGAAAUGGUUGACUUAGAGAAGCUCCAUUACCCCCGUAGAACUCAACACCAAUACUCACAAUAGUUUUCAUCCUUUCUAUAUAGAGCUCUCUUAGAGCGGGUAACCGCCCAACUGGUGGCAAUGAGAAGCAAGUACUACAAUCACUAAGACGCAUGACUUGUAUGUUGGAGAAGGAAGAGUCUCCCAACCAAUCCGGAAAGCUGGUUCCACCAUAAAAUCUGAUGGUCAGCUUCACGAGAUUCACAGAAGGCUGUAGGCUUUCAAGUACGUGUCUCUCUUUUAUGGAAUCAUCUGCUUCCUCAUGACCCCAUGCCAACUCUACUUCGUUGAGAUCUUUCUUAUCCUUCAAAUUGGCCCCCAAGGCAUCUAUAGGAUUGACGACAUUUUGUAGAUUCAAGAUAGAGAGUUUUCCUCGAAGGUUCGACAAUUGCCCCAGUUCACCAAUGCCACCCGACCUAGUAGAUUCCCCCAACACAAAAGCAGUCAAUGUUCUCAAACUUUUUAGCCUACCCAUUUGCACCGGCAUCUCUUUUAUACAAGUUCCACUAAUAUCAAGAUGACGCAAAUUAAUCAAUUUCCUCAUGUCUGCAGGCAAUUCAACAAGAGAGGAACAACCGACCAACAAUAGAGUUUGCAAAUUGUAGAGAGUACACAUCGUAUCUGGUAACUUUUUAACUGCAGUGUGAGAGAGAUCAAUGUAGUGCAAGUUUAAGUGUUUACCAAUGUAAUCAGGUAAUUGAGUGAUAUUUUCAUAUCUUGACAGCGACAACACCCGUAAACAUUUUAGUUUUGGUAAUAAAUCUUCUAGAACCUUUAUGCUUACAUAUAGGCUCUCCCUCUUCCAAGACGGUCUUAAAGACAUAGGAAAUAAGGUGCGCAAACACUUAAUUUCAUCCAAUGACCUAAGUUUUGCAGCAGUAUCAAAUCUUCCUCUCAUAUAUGACAAAUGCCGAACUCUUUUAGGAACUUCAUGCGACUCUCCCUCAUCCAACCUAAAACAAAAUUCUCCAGACACAUACAUAGCCAAGUCAUUAAUGAGAUCAUGCAUUGUGAAACUUGAUGGUUUCCAUGAUCUUUGAAGUAGUGAUCGUGACAAUAGUUCAUCAAAGUAUAUCUCACCGAGCUCUUCCAAUCCUUUACCACUCUCAUCUUGUGGAAUUAAACUCAGUGCCAUCCAAAGUUGAAUUAUAUUUUCCUUUUCAAAUUCAUAGUCCUUUGGGAAAAUUGAGAGAUAAGCAAAACAUUGUUUUAAAUAAGUAGGGAGAUAAUGAUAACUCAAUCUUAGAGAUGGAAGAACAUUUUUAUCAGUAUGCAAUGUCUCCCAAAGAUUGCUAUUCAAUAUGUGACUCCACUCCCUGUAACCUACAUUACAACCUAAGAGACCCCCAAGUGCUUUUGCAGCUAAGGGAAGACCAUUGCACUUGCGUGCAAUUUGCUUACCAAUUUCUUCCAAGUGUGGAUGCGCACUAGGAUUUUCAUUUCUAAAUGCAUGUUUUCUGAGUAACAACCAACAAUCUUUAUGCGACAAAUGUUUCAAAUAGUGAAUAGGACCGGUAUGCACAAUGGAUGCGACACUUUUGUUCCUUGUUGUCACUAUCACCUUACUUCCCCUCUCCCCAUAAGUAAAAGGAGUCCUUACAAGAUCCCAAUCACUAUAGUUGUCAUUCCAAAGGUCAUCCAACACAAAUAGGAACUUUUUCUCCCUCACUUGUUCCCUAAGUUCAACUUGAAGCAAGCUAUCUUGAAGACUGCAAGGUUUUGAGAUAAUUGAUUCAAUAAGAGUUUUAGUUACCCUCAUAGCGUCAAAAUCUUCGGAAACACAGGCCCAAGCUGUAACAUCAAAAUGCUCUUUUAUAUUUUUAUCAUUGUAAAGGAGCUGAGCAAGGGUUGUCUUACCAACCCCGCCCAUACCCACUAUUGGGAUUACUGAUAUGUGGCUGCUACUUGCAUCAUCAAAUAGCAACAUUCUUUUCAACUUCUUUUUAUCUCUCUUCCUACCACAAGCACUAAAUUCACGCUCAACCAGGGAUGUUGUGGUUCUUUGAGAAACCUUCUCCUUAACGCCUCCUCCUAUAAGACCAAGGAGAUCUUUUUGUUUCCCAAUGUGUUCCACCGUUUGAAACAACUCUUGUAUCUUACCAUUCAUGCCUUGAUAAAAAGGAUUAAGAGAAGUAGAGAAGAAGUUCCACACCUGGGACGUCAUUUUGGUUUGAUAUUCCUCAGCUUCCACCUUGCUUUGCAAAGCUUCAGCAUCGAUCUCAGCCAGCAGGUCCUCAGCAUCGAAGACGGCAUGUUUGAGCUCGUCAAGCCACUUUUUCACACGAGGUUUCUCAAUCUGCUUAUCCUCUGCAUCAUCAAGCACUGCGUCAAGGGCCAGAAAAGUCAGCUUCAGUUUCUCCAAGAGUGAAUGGUCAAGUUUUUUCCGUCGGAAGAAGUCCAUCAACAUCCCAGAAGAAAUCUUGUCGCACAGCGUCCGGAUGGAAGCAGAGAGAAAAGCCUCCCCAAUCAAAGCUCCUGCCAUUUCUCUUUCUCUUUCUCUGUUUUUUUUUUCUCUCUUCAAAGAAGUGUUGAGUUGAGGAAGAAGAAGAGUGUUAUCACCUAUAAUUUUAUUGUAUAAGCUUAAUUUCGUUUCGGAAAGAGACAACCUGAUAUAUAUAAUAUUUUAAGUCAAUAAUUGAGUGGAGCCCACACAUUAAUCAAAGAGUCUUAUUACCUAUAAUUUAAGUCACAAUUUCCCAGUAGUUGGUUUGGUUGGUGUGAGAGUGUGGGUAGGGGAUUUGGAUCCUCUCCCGAGCAGGGGUCCGAAUCCUCCUGACUCAAUAACACGGGUCGUUAAAUUUUGAUUUAACGGUUAUAAUUAUUAUAAUUUUAGAAGUGUUUUUUAUUUGUAACCGUUGGAUCAAAAUCUAACGGUCUGUGUUAUUGGAUCUGAAGGAUUCGGACCCUGCUCAGGGGAGGAUCCAAAUCCGUGGGUUGGGUGGCAAUUUUUUAGUAAUUAACCAUAACAUCACUGUUUGUUGAUAAUUUGAUAUUACAAGCCGCGUUGGGAUUCUGCUCUUGGGCGGAUACAGCACAAGAUUUUUAAAUUGAUCACCUAAUUAAUUAAGAUUAAAAUUGUAAUCUUUUGUUGAUUAUGUUAUCAUGUCAUCAUGCAUGUGAAAAGAAAUCACACUGACGUGGUUAAUCAAUAUAUUGGAGUUAUACUACAAGUUGUUAAACUCAAAAAUAGAAGGGAUCUCUUUUUUUUUUUUUCAUCCCUUGCCACCAGGUCUUAUAAUUGGCUUGUGAAAUAGGGAAGCUUCAACUCGGGUCCAAGCAGGCAACAAUACAAUGCCUUUCAUCAAAAUUUUGUCAUCCUAGUGCACCUAGCAAUCCCUUCUUCUAGUUGUCGACCCAUUUUUCGAUUGGUAACCAAUUUCUUCUUUUGCAGUCAGUCGAGAUUAAAAUGAAUAAAAGUGAAUUAAAUAAUAUCAUGUGUUGUACGAAGACAUACUCGGAACGAUAAUUACAAUAAAAAAUGUUAUUAGUACUAUGCUUCAACAUCAAACAACAAAGAUAUUGUUGAAAACAAACAGCAAGAUAAUGCUGUGAACACAGAAAAUUCCUGAAACGAAAGAGACAAGAACAACGUGGACAAACAAAUAUUUGUAUUUUGAUUAUUUAGGGUUACAAUCUCUCUCAAAUUUGAUCCUCUGAUUCGAUCUCCGUAAGGUGUGUAUUUGUGGAUGUUUCGUUGAUCCAAGGGCCGUUGAGGCUUGAUCUUGGAUGAACUGUUGGAAGUUUCUUCAAAGGGCCGUGGGCUUGAUCUUUGAAGGUGGAUUUGAGCGGAUCUUCAAGGAGCCGUUGGGGCUUGAUCUUGAGGAUGAAUGUUUCUUCAAGGGGCGUUAAGGCUUGAUCUUGAAUAACGGUGAUGAACGGAUCUUCAAGGGAUUUUGGGCUUGAUCUUGAAGAACAGUGAUGAAAGGAUCUUCAAGGGCUUUUGGGCUUAAUCUUGAAGAAACGGUUGGAUGUGUGGAUUUGUCGACGUUGUUGAUCCAAAGGGCCGUUGGGGCUUGAUCUUGGAUGAACGGAUGAUGAAUGAUGGACACUUUCUUCAAGGGUCGUCGGGGCUUGAUCUUGAAUUGGUGGAUGAUUGUUGAUCCAAAGGGCCGUUUGGGCUUGAUCUUGGAAGAACGAUGAACGAAGAACGAAGAGAGCUUUCUUGAUUCUUCGGGAACCUGGAUGCUUGAGAGCUUCGGAGUUUCAGAGCUUCAGAGCUUCAAGGUGUAAUAUGAAUGAAAUAGGCUUGUAUUUAUAGAAUUUUCCAAGAUCUAAUUUUGAAUAUAAUAUUCCAGAUGAAAUAAGUCGUUUCUGCCAGGUGUUGACACGUGUCCUAUUUGAUGACUUUUCCAACUCAUUUCCAUUUUCGUUGAGUCACACGCUACGUGUAAAAUUUAUGUAAUACAUGAGCGUUGACACUUUGAUUUAUUGGUCAACAUUUAUUUACCGAAAUUUCGAUGUCUACAAAUGCCCCCACUUCAAGGCACGUCGUAUACAUGUGCUUGUCACGUGUAGGAGAUGUGUUUUGAAGUCCCUUACUGUAGAUGUCGAUCCAAGGGCUGUCGAGGCUUGAUCUUGAAUUGGGCUGGAGAUUUCUUCAAGGGCCGUUGAGGCUUGUUUUUGAACUUUUGUUUGAAAUUUCUUCAAGGGCCGUCGAGGCUUGAUCUUGAAGGUUGAAAUUGGACCAUAAGGAGCUUUAUGUGGUAGAUGAUCUUUGGCUUUGGUAGUGGGUGAAUCGGCACAUAUUUUGUUGCGCUUGUUGACUUUCCACAGCUUUGAUCUUGAACUGGGUUGGAGGAUUUUCUGGAUUCCUCCAAUUGUUGAUUUUCCACAGCUUAUUCUUGAACUGGGUUUUGAUUCAAGGGUGGUAGACACUUAAUCUUGAAUCAGACUUGUGAUUUCCUCAAGGGCCGUCGAGGCUUGAUCUUGAAUUUGGCUGGAAACUUCUUCAAAGGCCAUUGAGGCUUGAUUCUUGAAGGUUAAUUCGAACACAUGACAAGCAGGCAUGAGGUGAAGGUGACGACUUGUUGCUUUGUUCAAUCUUUCUAAUUCACACCCGAGCAGUUUGGUCAACGGUAUGAUCUUCAAGAUUGAUGGGCUCUUCUUCCAGUUGGUGACUUGAUCUUUAAGGAUUUGAUUCAAGGGUGGUGAAUCGGCGCAUGCAGCCCACACCGCCUAGUAAGUCGACCCAAGAAUUUGAGGGUCAAAACGAGUUCUUCAUCUCAGACUCUUUCUGCCGAGUUGACUGUGAAUGAUGCAUUCUUCUCUGCUUGUUUCUUCAGGCAGAUAUGGCAGCUUCUCGAGUUCUUCAGCUCGGACUCCUUCUGCUGAGUUGACUGUGCAAACUGCAUUCUUCUCUGCUUGUUCCUUCUGCACCUCUUCUCCACAUGCUUCAAGGUAUCAUUUUCACUUGCCUUAUCUGUUCUCCAGGCAGAUGUGGCAGCUUCUUUGGAAGUACAACAGCAGUGGGAAACGAGUACUCAAGAGCAGUGCUAGGUAGGCAAUCAGGGAAGGGUUCCAAGCAGUCGGUUCCUUACCCGAGUUUAAGUGGAAGUUCCGGCAUAUUGUUUUCUUUAUCCUUGUCUUUGUAGGUAAGAACAAAGACAAAGGAAAUGACAGGGAGAACGCAUGAUAUGAGAUACUUUUGCUUUCUACCCUGGUGAUAUGAGAUACUUUUGCUUUGGUGUCAUUUGUUUGCUGAAGUACCCCAAGGGAUAAGGAACACCGAGUGACUCGAGAGGCUUCGUUGGGAAGGCAUUCUCGGAGAUGAAGAAAGGUUCCGUAUGUCUGCCUUGCUAUGGAGGGUGAAGGUGGACAGUUAUAGGGAGUUCCUUAAUACCUGUAGAUGUAUUGUUCUUUCACUUGUGUCAGUAGCCAAUGCGUGAUUGAUCAGUAUGGCUUCACGUGCCUUCUUCUUUAUCAUAAAUCUUCGACAAAUUGUCCGUAAUUUCCGCCAAGCUGAGUGUGCGUGUGACAGGUGUUGACACGGCUGAAAAAGACUGGCGCUUCUUUGAUAACUGGGAUCGGCGCUUCGACAAAUUACCCGUGAUUUCCACAAAGCUGAGUUUGCGUGUGAUGGGUGCUGACGUAUCUGGAAAAGACUGGCGUCUCUUCGGUAUCUGGGAUCGGCGCUUCGACAAAUCACCCGUGAUUUCCGCAAAGCUGAGUUUGCGUGUGAUGGGUGCUGACGCGUCUGGAAAAGCAAGAUGCCUCUCUGAUUUCUGAGCUUGCCUCUUCGAUUUUUGAAUUGGCCUCUUCGAAUUCUGAGCUUGCCUCUUCGAUCUCUGAAAUCCCGUUGAGUGCUAAUGUUUAUAGAGGCACGCAGUUCGUUUCAAAGCACACUUGAAUUUUCACUUGCAGAAACUCCCUUCUUGUACUUCUAAGAUCUUGAUCUGUCUGACCUCUUCUUUCUUCAACACCUUUGAAAAUGUCUGGACCCUCCGACCGUCGUUUCGAUUUGAACCUUGGUGAAGAGGCAAUCUCGCCCUCUCCCGAUAACAUAUGGCGCCCAUCAUUCAUAUCCCCUACUGGUCCUCUUACCGUUGGGGAUUCGGUGAUGAAGAAUGAUAUGACCGCUGCGGUGGUGGCCCGGAACCUUGUCACUCCCAAAGACAGCAGGCUGCUUUCCAAGCGGUCUGAUGAGUUGGCUGUUAAAGAGUCUCUGGCCCUUAGUGUGCAGUGUGCGGGGUCUGUGUCCAACAUGGCCCAACGCCUAUUUGCCCGAACCCGUCAAGUUGAAUCGUUGGCGGCUGAAGUGAUGAGUCUCAAACAGGAGAUUAGAGGGCUCAAGCAUAAGAAUAAACAGUUGCAUAGGCUCGCACACGACUAUGCCACAAACAUGAAGAGGAAAAUUGACCAGAUGCAGGAAUCUGAUGGUCAGAUUUUACUUGAUCAUCGGAGGUUUGUGGGUUUGUUCCAACAGCAUUUGCCUUCGUCUUCUGGGGCUGUACCGCGUAGUGAAGCUCCGAAUGACCAACCUCCGAUACCUCCUCCUUCUGUGGCCCCGCCGACUGCUGAGGCUCCGCCCGAGCAAACUUUGUGAAGGCUCUCUCUCGUCUGUUUUAUUUUUUUGAUUUAUGUAUGUGUACAUAUUUGUAAUUUAUUGGAGACAUUAAUAAAUGAGCUUUAUUUCACUUAGUGUCUACAUGCUCCUUUUUUUCUUUUUUUAUUUAUAUAUAUAUAUAUAUAUAUAUUUAUUUAUUUAUUUAUUAUAUAUAUAUAUAAUUUUUUUAUUAUUAUUAUUAUUAUUUUAUUUAUUAUUAGCUAAAGCUGUAUGUCCUUUUUUUUUCUCCCCAAAUAUGUUGCUUGCAGUGUCAGGCAAAUAUGGGCGUUAAAGCUUUUCCCAGCUUUAACAAAAGCUUUUUCUUUGCUGCUGUAUGUGUUAUAAUCAUUCACGGCAAACAUGGGCGUUAAAGCUUUUCCCGGCUUUAACAAAACACGGCAAACAUGGGCGUUAAGGCUUUUCCCAGCUUUAACAAAUGCAGUUGUGUAUAAGUAAGCCUUCCUGCAAGGCUUUUAGACAUGUAUCCGAUCCUCUCCAUCUGCUUGAAAGUUUUAACCUAUCAAGUGUAGUUUCAUUUGCACCGAAGCUUGCUGCUCCAUGCUUUGUCAGCUUCUUUGGACACCAUAACUGCACAGCCACCAUCCUUGCUGCACUGCCUUUGUCACCCUUGCUGGUUGCCGCACCGCCUUGCGUCCUUGUUGCACCGUCUGCUGCACACCAUCGCACUACCUGUCAUCCUUGCAUUUGUAGUCGCCAAGUACAGCGGGUCUUCAAGCAGCUGGAGGGCCGACGAUGAAAUGAUGCCGACGUACGAGGUGUAGCCAGUGGAGCUUGGUAAAGACAACUUUUGCUGUGGAAAGUUUCAACCUGGCGGAGAGUGGUGCGGCUUCCUCACUUUAUGUAGUUCUUUUUAUCUCAGUGACAAACUUCUUUUCUUCUAACUGCAGUGCUCUAAUUUCCUUUUCCAUCCCUCUAGCAGCAGGGGUCAUUUCUUGCUUGUUCUCCCAAAGAGCCUCUUUGGCAGUGGGUUUCUUACUGAAGCUGUUCCUGGCGCAAAGGCUGUAGGAAUCAGAGCACUCGGACUCGAGCAAUAUUCAUAUCAAGCCAUGUUAGUAACUCAUGGAUCUCUUCCGCGUUUCUCUUGUUGCUGGUUUGUGAUGCGGCAAGAACAUCAUUCGUGCACCUAGUGACCUCUUGCCUCAAGAAUGAUAUCUCAUCAUCCCGUCCUUGCAACUGUGAUUGAAGCUUUUCCACCUCAGCAAUGAGGCUUGCAGCUAGCUGAUGUAGCUCAUCAAACUUACUGACAGUGACGGAAAGCCUUUUCAUAACCUUCCCGCGGGAAGUUUCAAGGUUAUCCAAAUCUAGAUUCUUUUGUUCCACAACCUUUUCCAGUUCCUUAAUCCUGGAAGUGUGACCUUGCAUCUGCAUGCAUAUUUGUUUGUCCCAAUCUGCACAUAUAUAAAAUUUCUUAUAAUGUGCGCACAUUCACUGAUGGAUUUCUUUGUCGUAAUGCUAGGGAUCUUUAAUUACGAAGCUUUCAGAGGCGUGGUAUUUGGAGUGCGCAGGGCGUGAGCAUAUUUGUGCCUUCUGCUGCCUAGGGUUUGCGCAAGAGAUUGUAACAGGGUUUCGUUGUGUAGUGCCUUUUGCUGCCGCUUGGAAGGACUGUCCCGUAGCUACCCGCUUUGCCGUGCUGCUGCUGAUUUAUUUUUGUUUUUUUUUUUCCCGAGGUCAUGGUAUUUUUUAAGUGCUUUAAGGGCGGCACCCUUACCAUUCUUGCGCAGGGAGGUGACUCGCAAGACAGAGGAACGACGUUGAAGCUUUACGAGCCACUGACUGGUCCUAAAACGCUUGCUCUUCCCGCGAAAGAUAACUCCAUGCAUAUUAAGUCGUGGUCUUCCGAAGUAUCUUGGGAUGUGGUGGAUUCUGUCCAAGCGGAUACGAAGAAGAAAGCGCGCAUCUCGAAGAUUCUUAUCUUGAAUUCGUCGCACCAUGUCGGUGAUAAUCAUUCGGCCUCAUUUAAGCUUCUUGGUGAUCACAUCCGCAUUGGAGCUAAGGUUUGGAAGGGUACCCUGUCUACUGCUGGAGAGGCCGUUUUUGAUGAGUUUUAUUGGGAGUGGCUCGAAGAUGUCUUAAGCCGAUCUAAGGAUGUGCUUACUAAGGUGGACCUUUACCAAGCCGUGUAUGCGUCUUUGUUUAGUUACGAUCGCCAUCAUUCCGUUAUUCGUGCGUUCUUAGAGUGUUGGUGUUCGGCCACCAACACACUUCACACAGUGCAAGGGGAGAUGUCAAUUUCACUUUGGGAUCUUCACCGGAUAAGAGGUUUGCCGAUCCAAGGCAAGUUUUACAACGAGGUCGUUCCUAGCGCAGAGGACCUUUCUCUUUGCAAUAACCGAGGAUUGCCUGCAAGUUGCCGCUAUUUGUUUUGGGCGUAUCACAGGCUUUUCCAGGAUGCUCGGGGUAAAUCAGGCGUGAGGAUUUCCUCAUGGAUCCGAUUCUGGUACUGGGAGGCCAUGAGGUAUAAGAAGCCUUUGAAGAAAACUGGUCGUAACAAGACCACUAAGCCAAAGGGCGACUCAGACCCGUCCGGUGUUAUUGGCGCAACCAGGCGUCGCUCUUCCGACGAGUUGAGAGCAUUUGAGGAUCUUGGCAUAGCACCAGAGCAUGUGGAGGAGUCUUACCUGGCUGCUUUCUUAGCUUGUUGGCUUUGUAAAUUUGUUUUCCCCGCAGGCGACGUUAACUUAGUUCGCCCUGGAGUUUUCAAAGUUGCUAGCAAGAUGGCUGCAGGUGAGUCUUUUAGCCUCGCUAUUCCGGUCUUAGCCAGCAUUUACAAUGGCUUGAGCAGGGUUUCUGACUCGGCAAGCACUGAAGAUCGUGCUGCGGUGCUUCCUUACCACUAUGUGUAUGGUUGGUUGGGUGAAUAUUUUGGCACUCAUUUUUCUCUGUCGACUUUGGAUAAGUCAAGACCUUCCUCAUCAACCGGAGCCAAGCUAGGGCCUUUGAUGACGAAGUAUUCUGGGGUGCUCUCCGCGAAGAGCCUUGACGAUUUGCAAGCGCGAGCGCUAUUCAAAAGUUGUGAAGAUUUGAGGAUGGACCCCUUAGCGAGAGUUGGCUUGGUGCGGCGAGGCAUCGUAGACAACUCGCAUCUCCGCUUCUCGGACUUGUCUUAUCUUAUAAGCCUUCGUUCGGGGUUUGUUUCUUUGCGGCAAGAAGACCGAUGUAUCGUCCAGCCAUAUAGUCCCCACCGUUUCAGCAGGCAAUUUGGUUUUGUCCAAAACGUGCCAGGCAAGUUGAAGGAAAGGAACCCAUCGGUAUCCCUGCAAGCCGUGUACAUGCAUUGGGAGUCUUGUACCCGUUCAUGCACAAAUGCUGUUAUUACGAUGCCGGCCAAGGAUGAGUUCAGGAGUAAUCCAGUGACCCGUGUUUACGCACGUUGGUGGUCAAAGACACAUUAUAAGAACUCGGGGACGGCAAGUGGCGCCAAUUCUUCUUACUUAAGCGAUGAUACGUCGAGAGAGGGUUGUCUUGUGGUUUCUAUGCGACUGGUACCCCUUGAUUGCGCGAGUGCGGCUCCCUUGCAAGAUAGACCUGUAGCUUUAACUCCUCAACGUCCAUGCUUGUUUCCUCGACAUCCGGAUGCUUCUGAAGAGGCAGGGGAUGAAGGUGACUCGUACGAAGAUGGAUUCAUUUUGCAGCAGCGUCCACAAGUUUCAAACAAGCGACCACUUGAGGAUGCUCAGGCUGACAGUGAUGUCAAUUUUCGUCACAAGAAGAAAGAAGUGUUUAGAACUCCUCAAUUCGAUGACCGUGCGCCAUUUGAGAGAGAUGUAUAUCCUUUAUUUUCUCUCCUGAUUUCUUCUGCUUUUCUCGUUUUGGCUUUUAUUUCUAACAUCUUUCUUUGUCUUUUUUAGGUUGGGCCUUCCUGUCAUUUUGAUUUGGCAACUGCAGAUGUUUAUUCCUAUACGAGGAUGCUACUUGCAGACGACCUACCUACAGACGGGGAUAUCGGGGAUCCGCCUGGCGCGGAGCUUGUUCCAAAUCCGCCGAACUUCCCGAGUUUGCCACGUGUAGGUGGAGGUAUGCAAGAACCCGUCAUGCGUCCAACGCCUUUGCCAGCUAGCUCUGAGAUCUCUUUGAGAGGACCGAAUCUUAGCGGUACUGAGCGACUCAUCCAUCGCAUAAGUCUUGGUGCGGCAAUGGAGAUCAAGGGCCAUAUUGAGGCGAGGAUUUUUAAGUGUCCACUGGAAGACCUCCCGUUGCUUAAUGAGGAUUUGUCAAAGUUUGUUUCGGUGAUUGACAACCUUAACGUUGAUUCCUCCUCCUUGAAGAUCAAGAUUGCCGAACUUAUGGCCGCCUCGACUGAAUAUUCUUCCUUGCGUGCUAUUUCCUUGGAGAAGUUGAGUCCAGAUGUUAGAGCUCAUCAGCUAACAAUGAUAGACUCAUCACUGGCUCAAGUUCGGUCAUUUCAGCAAGCUGUUUCAGGAGAUUAUCAAGUCACGGAGGCUUCGUUAACUUCUGUCCAAGGGCGUCUAGAUGCAUUGGCGCGAGAGCGAAAACAGUUGGUAGUCGAGGCAUCACAACUUGAAAGUGUCCUCGCAGAGCAGGGAACUGCACUUUCUCAGUACCAAGAAGAGAUUUCUCGCCUAGAACGAGAGAAAGGCACAACUAUGGAGUUACCCAUCUUGUCUCCCACCGAGGUAGAGACUUUGAAGACCUUGGAAGGCUCGCUUGGAGAUUGCCUUCGUAGUUUUAGAGACAUAGUUUUCAAGUAAUAUUUCUUGUAAUAAGGCAUUGGACCCAACUCCUUCUUUCAAAGAAAUAAAGCAUUUAUGUUCUUGAAUUUGCUCUUCUUUCCUGAAAGUGUUUAUUUAUUAUUAUUAUUAUUUCUUUUAGAUGGUAUGACUGUACUUGAAGUUUUGACACUUCGAGUUGCCUACGUACCCUUUGUUUGAGGAGGGAUCAAGUCAUAACGUAGUUCAAAAUACAUUUUUUUUUUUUGAUGCCGUAUGCAGUUUAUGCUCUUGCGGGCCAGGAGCUUUAGUUCAUGCAGUUUAGGCUCGUGCGAAUAAAGAGCGGGAAUUUGUUGCCUUUCAGGGGUAGUAGCGCUUCAAGAAUCUGCCGUUGAUAGGGCCGAUCUUCAAGUCGUCCUCCGCCAUGAUUAAGUAGGCGCCAUUGGUGUAGACUUCUUGUACUACGUAUGGUCCAUCCCAUUUUGACGUGAACUUGCUCUUUGUCUUGUGAGUUGUGAUGAUAGGCCCACGCAAUGAAAGGACGAGAUCUUCCAUUUGAAAAGACCGAGGGAGAACUUUCUUGUUGAAGGCUUUAGAAAGUCGCGCUUGAUAACACUCCAGGUGUUGCUGGGCUUCGAGUCUUUUCUCAUCUAGUGCCUCCAAUUCUUGAAGACGUAGCUUUGCAUUCUCUUCAUCAGUCAAGCCUUCUUGUAUAGCCAUCCUUAGCGAGGGGAUUUGACUUUCGAGUGGUAGAAUAGCUUCUACGCCAUAUACAAGAGAAUAAGGUGUGGCUUGGGUAGGCAUUCUAUAUGUUGUCCUGUAUGCCCAUAGGGCUUCGCCUAUUCUUUCAUGCCAGUCUUUCUUUGUUCUACCGAUUACCUUCUUCAGGAGGUUGCACAAUGUCUUGUUGAAUGCUUCUGCAAGACCGUUGGCCGGAGCAUGAUACAUGGAGGAUUUGUGCUGCUUGAACUUGUAUUUCUCGCAGAGCUCGUCCAUGAGUCGGUUUGAGAACUGCUUUCCGUUGUCGGUGACAAUGUAGCGAGGCACCCCAUAUCGAUGGAUGAUAUGUCCCUUGAUGAAAUAGACGACAUUUUCCUUCUUGACUUCCUUCAGGGGUAUGGCCUCAGCCCACUUAGAGAAGUAAUCUGUUGCAGCCAGGAUGUAAGCCUCUCUUGUAGAUGACUUUGGUGCAAUUGGUCCUACGACAUCCAAUCCCCAUGCAUCGAACGACCAUGAAGUAGCUGUGGGGUGUAAUGGUUCAGGCGGUUGAUGUAUGAAGUUGGCGUGAAAUUGGCAGGCUUGGCACCUUUUGGCGUAUUCUAGGCAGUCCUUUACCAUGCUUGGCCAGUAAUAACCCAUUCUUUUGAGCUGGAAAUGAAGCUUUGGUCCGGACUGGUGCGCUCCACAUAUUCCUGAGUGUGCUUUUUCCAUGGCUUGAUUGGCUUCUUCCUCGCCUAGGCAAAUCAGAAGUACCCCUUCAAACGAUCGCCGGUAGAGUGUCCCUUUGUAAUAGAGGAAGCGAUGUGCUCGUCGACGUAUUUCAGAGCGGUGUUUCGGAUCAUCUGGAAGCAUUCCGUGCUCCAAGUAGUUGAUCAGAGGCUGUCUCCAUUCUUCAACGUUGACCGGAAGUAUUGAAAUAACGUUUGCAUCACUUAAUACCAUUUCGGUGAUAAGCGGGAUUACCUAACUUUGGCAGACUGGCACGUUUGUAGCUUCGUCUUCUCCUAAUGUCAUGCUCGAAGCUAGGUUGGCGAGAGCGUCUGCCAUUUGAUUCUCUUUUCUUGGCACGUGUUCUAGUGUUACGGCCUCAAACCUUUGUAGCAACUGCGUUGCCAGCCGAAAGUAUGGGACAAGGUCAUCUUUCCUCACCUCAUAUUCAGUCAGGAGUUGAUUGAUUAUGAGCUUGGAGUCGCCGUAUAUCUCGAGGGCUGCGAUUUCCAUGUUGAUUGCCAUUUGGAGCCCGAGGAUCAGUGCUUGGUACUCAGCGACAUUGUUGGAGCAUAAUUCGCUUAGCUGGAAUGAAUAAGGUAGUACUUGCCUUUGUGGCGACAUGAAUACUACUCCUGCCCCCGCUUCGUCUGCUCGUGCAGAUCCGUCGAAGAACAUCGUCCAUGUCGGGAAUAUGUCGAUGCAGAACACCUAUUCGUCGGGCAAGUAGUCCGAGAUUUUCCAAUCGGCUGGGAUUGGAUGGUCGGCAAGGAAGUCUGCUAGCGCUUGUCCUUUGACGGCUUUAGCUGGGACGUAGAUGAUCUCGUAUUGAUUGAGAAGUAAUGCCCAUUUAGCUAGUCGCCCUGUCAAAACUGGCUUAGACAUGACGUAUUUGACCGGGUCAGCUUUAGCAACCAAGUGGAUGGUGUAAGCAUGCAUGUAAUGUCUGAGCUUCUGGAUGGCAAACAUCAAGGCUAGGCACAUUUUUUCUAUUGGGGAGUAGUUCAAUUCAGCGCCGGUAAGCGUUCGACUGAGGUAGUAGAGCGCUUCUUCUUUCUGGGCCUCGUUUUCCUGUGCCAAGAGUGCUCCAACUGAACUUUCCUGAGCAGCAAUGUACAAUAUGAGCGGUUUCCCUGGUACAGGUGCCCCCCAGGACAGGUGGACUUGAUAAAUACUUCUUUAUGCUUUCAAAAGCAUUGUUGCAUGCUUUGUCCCAUACGAACGGAACAUCUUUCUUCAUGAGUCGACUGAACGGUUGACAACGCCCUGCAAGGUUGGAGAUGAAGCGUCUGAUGAAGGCUAGCCGACCUUGUAACUCGUGCAGGUUUCUUAGCUCGGGCAUGCUUUGAAUGGCCUUGAUCUUUGAUUGGUCCACUUCAAUGCCACGAUGCUUGACAAUAAAGCCAAGGAACUUUCCAGAUGUGACGCCAAAUGCACACUUUAAUGGGUUCAUCUUGAGGUUGUAUUUUCGCAACCUUUCGAACACUACUCGCAAAUCUUUCAAGUGAUUUGAUCUUUUCUUUGUCUUGACCACCACAUCGUCUACAUAGCAUUCUACAUUCUUGUGUAGCAUGUCAUUGAAGAUCUUCUGCAUUGCGCGUUGAUAUGUAGCUCCAGCAUUCUUCAGACCAAAGGGCAUCACCUUGUAGCAGUAAAUACCUUUUGGAGUGCGGAAGGCUGUUAGUUCCUCAUCUUCAAGAGCCAUGCGAAUUUGAUUGUAACCAGAAGAGCCGUCCAUGAACGAUAGUGCCUCAUGGCCAGUGGUUGCGUCCACCAUGAUCUCAAUGAUUGGCAAGGGGAAGUCAUCCUUUGGGCAAGCAUUAUUGAGGUCUCAAAAGUCCACGCAAACACGUAUUUGUCCAGAUUUCUUAAGGACUAUGACGAUGUUGGAGAUCCACUUGGGGUAUUGCACCUGUCGAAUGAAGCCUGCUUCGAUCAACUUGUCAAUCUCGGCCUCGAUUUGUGGGAUGAGCUCGGAUCGAUAGCGUCUUUGAGUUUGCUUUACUGGUCGCGUUCCAGGCUUGACUGCAAGAUGAUGCACAACAAUGAUAGGGUCGAGGCUGGGCAUUUCCUUGUAGGUCCAAGCAAAGACGUCAUUGAACUCUAAUAGCAGCUGGUAAUACUUCUCUAUCUCGCCUGCACUUAGUAAUGCACUCACGAAGAUAGGCUUCGGUUCCUCACUUGUGCCUAAGUUGAGUUCUUUGAGAUCGUCAACUGUGGCUUGCCCCCCAUCUUCGAGUUGUGACGGUGCUGCAAUGACAUCUUCUUCGAGGCUUUCAUCUUCUUCACCUUCUUGGAUUGUGAUGUGGAAGAUGUCUUGGGCUUCUUCUUCGGUGUUAACCUCUCGAGCUAGUUGGCAUGAAGAUUGUCCAGUGUGAAUGAUGGUGCGCCUUUUCACUUUCAGUGAUCCAACUGUGUUAACCUCCAAAAUUGCUUGGCGCUUCAUUCUUGAAGGAAUGGAACUUCGAACGUCAUCCUUUUCUGCCAGGCGAUCGAUCUUUUCUACUUCUGGUGUCGUCUUUCUCCUUUUGGAAGGCUCUUUGGCUUCUCCAAGUCUUUCCAUAAUUGACUGUCGUGGAGGAAAGCUAGUCGUAUUGCUUUGCUUUUUAGGUUUUGAUAACCUUUUGAAAACAGAGCCUCGAGAUACUGACGUGUUAAGCCUUUUGAAGACGGAAGUUUUGUUUUGACCGCCAAUGAGUUUAGGUGCCGAAACUCUGGGCUUUGAACAAUUCAUUCUAUCGAAUACUGAUGUCCGGGGGGCAGGUUGAGGCUCCUCUUUAUCUUGUAUAAUGCUUAUGCUGAUGUGUUGAGCACUAGCAUUUUUUGCCUUGCUGGAGAUCUUCACCGGUGCAUUUGGUGUGAAGCCAAGCCCAGCUUCGUUGUUGCUAACCCCGUAACCAUGCUUCUCUAACUUCUUUUAAGUUUUAGUGAGAUCACGUUCGUUGUCUUUGACGGUGUUCAAAUCAUUCUUUCCCAAAUUAGCAGAGGGGGUGAAGUUAUACCCAGCUUUCGACAUAAGUUUGUAGGCGUUUGGAUCAAAACCUUCUUCGGUCCUUUUGGUUGGGAGAAAGCUUGGUUCUACCCCCUUUGGCAGGCCUUUUAUGAAGCCCUGUGAUGGUUUUGCAACCUUAGUGUCGCCUAGCUGGGUCAGAGGCAAAACUGCAUUCGUUUUGAGCAACUUUACAUUAUCUAUGUGCCGCUGUGCAUCGGCUUUGCUCGCUGCAGUUUCGAACGGGGAUUGACCAUUCUUUCUUCUCGACGUCGGGAUGUACCGGAAGACGGGUACGCUUGGUCCAUUUGAGGUCGUCCUAUUUCCUCUGGUUGUUGCAGGUUUAGAAAGCUCAUCGUCGUUUUUGCUUGAAGAUGACAUAGCUUAUUCUUCUUGCUUCUUAGGCAUAGCUUGCCACUCCUGUUUUUUUGGCAUUGUUUUGCUCAUGGAUUUAAUCUCUUUUGGAAGAGUUUCGAGCACCGUGUCUUCAUUCAUGUAGAACUUGGCGUCUGCAAAAUGUGAUUCGGCUUCGGUGAAUGGCUUGGUGUCGCCAUAGAUCACCUUCACUCGUUCUUGGUAAAAUUUUAAACAUUGGUGAAGGGUGGACGGUACCACUCCAUUCGUAUGGAUCCAAGGCCUUCCUAAGAGCAGACCGUAGGAAGUUCUUGCAUCAAUCACGUGGAACAUCACGCUUGACUUGAGUUCACCAAUGGUCAUCUCCACUCGGAUCAUGCCCAUCGCUCUUUGUCCUCCUUGGUUAAAACCUUGGAUUAGUAGACGGCUUAGGGACAGUUCAUCCACCUUGAUGCCGAUUGCGGUCAUUGUUGACUUUGGCAUGAUAUUUAUGGCUGACCCACCGUCCACAAGCAUGCGGCUGACUUGAUGCUCCCUUACAUACCCAGAGACGAAGAGAGGUCGGUUGUGAGGCUUGGAUCCUAGCAACAAGUCUUCGUCGGCGAAGUGGAUUGUGUCCUCGGUGGCACAGCAUGUGGCACACUCGUGUGGCCGAGGCCCUAAGCCUUCGUUCUUGCUUUCUUCCACUUCGUGGUCGUUUGGACUCGCUAAAACCGUUGCCAAUGCCCUUCGUAUCUUCUUUGGCAAUUGUAGCGCUUCCUCGAUGCUAAAGUGUAUUGGCAGACCUUCUUCAGGUGUCGGAGUAUUUUCUCCCUCAGCGGCGACAAUUUUGCCCUUUGAGGGUUCUUCCAUUUCUACUUCGACCAUGUGACAUGCGGUGAUAGUGCAAUGUUGGAAGAAGUCCUCCGGGAAGUACUCGUGCAAUGAGAUGGGAAUGCGUGGCUUUUGCUCCGCAGGUUCCCCAGCAUAUAUUGGCUUAGCAGCUCUUAUGUUUCUCUUAGGCUUCCUAUUGCCGCGACGGCGGUGCUUUCUCCCUUGUUCCCCCUUCGGCUUUAUAGCUUGCGGUUUCGGUUUCCUCGUCCUCUUAUAGGUCACCAAUGUCCAUCCUUUGUCAUCGUCAGUAGGUGCGUCCUGGUUGCUUGCCCCCAGUGAUGGUGGUGCAGAAUGUGCAGUGUAGUUUGAGUAUUGCCGAGCAUGGUCAGGCAUUUCUUGAAGAAGCACGGGAUCAAAGGAUCCGAACACGACUGUAGUGGUGUGCGUCGCAGCUGUGUCUUCUAGGUCGAGCUCAAUUCGUCCUUGUUGUGCCAGCUUCAUGAUAAGUUCUUUUAGGAUGAAACACUUGCCCACAUGAUGACCCACGAUACGAUGGUACUUGCAGUACUUUGGAUCAUUGAUGCGAUUCAUUUCUUCAGGGCGUUUGCAUUCGGGUAACUCAAUCACCUUCUUCUCCAAUAGGUCAUCCAGCAUUGCGUCCAUGUCGGAGUCCGGAAAAGGGUAUACCUUCUGCUCCAAUUCCCUCAAGGUGUUUUUGUACCUAUCUUGGGUGUGGGAAGGCUCACCUUUUUUUAUCUCCCUUGCUUUAUUGAAAGAGAUUUUGACGGGCGCGGACGAGGUCUUGAUAGGGGUGGUAUUGGUGGUAAAAGCUUCCUUGGUGGGCUUUUUCGCAUGAUUGUCUGCUCUUGAAGUGAACACCUCCCUUUUGAAAUCGGUGAUUGGCUCCUUCUUUCCAUGGUGGGCGAUGCUCAACUCCAUGUCGUGGGCACGGGUGGCUAAUUCUUCAAAAGUUCGUGGUUUGAUACCUUGAAGGAUGUAUUGUAAACCCCAUUGCAUGCCCUGGAUGCACAUCUCGAUUGAAGAAAUCUCGGAAAGUCUGUCCUUACAGUCGAGGCUUAGAUUACGCCAUCGGUUGAUGUAGUCCAUGACUGGCUCGUCCUUCCACUGCUUUGUGCUUGUUAGCUCUAGCAUGCUCACAAUGCGGCGGGUGAUGUAGAAGCGAUUGAGGAAUUCCCGCUCCAAUUGCUCCCAACUGUUGAUGGACUCAGGCUCCAGAUCCGUGUACCACUCAAAGGCGUUUCCUUUCAGCGAGCGCACAAACUGCUUGGCGAGGUAGUCCCCUUCGGUUCCUGCGUUGUUGCAAGUUUCAACGAAGUGGGCAACGUGCUGUUUCGGGUUUCCCUUUCCAUCAAAUUGCAUGAACUUUGGUGGUUGAUAACAACUCGGCAUCCUUAAGGUGUCGAUCUUCUUUGAAUACGGCUUUGAGUACAACCCGGAGGUAUAUGAGCUCCCUUCGUACUGUGCCUUGAUGGUGUUGGUGAUCAUCUCUUGCAGCUGCUGGAUAGAAAGAGAUCCCAUGAGUGCCGCUGCUUGGUAUGGUUUCGGCUUUCCAUCGAUUUUCUUCACCGGGGGUUCUUCGUCUCCGCCUGCUCCUCCCUUUAGUGGAUCAUCCUCUGGGUCGGGUUUCUCGCUGUCCUGCGCCUCCAGUCGGUUGACUAAUGCCGCGAUUUGCAAGUCUUUUUCUUCCACAGUUCGAGUUAGUCUUGCGAUUGCUUCAUUCAUUUGAGCAAGCUGUUCCUCGACUGAAGUUGCUCCAGCGGUCAUGACUUGCAUGGCUGAACUGCCGCUUGAAUCGUCAUCGGAGAGCAUGGAUUCGGAGUAUUCCCUUGGUCUUUCCCCUCUUGGUGCCCUUAGUGAGGCUAAGGUGAUCACAAGCUCGCGCCUGGGGUACUCUCGUUCCCUUGGCAGAGUUGAUGCAGAGGUGAAAAAGGUGGCAGAAGUAGCUUUUGCUUUGCUUCGAGUCGUGAUACCCAACGUGACACCACUUGCGACGAGGGCGCCUUUGUUCUUUGCGCCGGUUAUGGGAACAGCUUGAGCCUUCCUUGACGUCAUUGAUUUUGGAAGUGUGCUUAUAUUCCUUGAACGGAGGAAGAGAUGAGAGGUAGAGAUGUCCCACCGAGCGUGCCAAUUUGUGAACACGGAAAAUUCCUGAAACGAAAGAGACAAGAACAACGUGGACAAACAAAUAUUUGUAUUUUGAUUAUUUAGGGUUACAAUCUCUCUCAAAUUUGAUCCUCUGAUUCGAUCUCCGUAAGGUGUGUAUUUGUGGAUGUUUCGUUGAUCUAAGGGCCGUUGAGGCUUGAUCUUGGAUGAACUGUUGGAAGUUUCUUCAAAGGGCCGUGGGCUUGAUCUUUGAAGGUGGAUUUGAGCGGAUCUUCAAGGAGCCGUUGGGGCUUGAUCUUGAGGAUGAAUGUUUCUUCAAGGGGCGUUAAGGCUUGAUCUUGAAUAACGGUGAUGAACGGAUCUUCAAGGGAUUUUGGGCUUGAUCUUGAAGAACAGUGAUGAAAGGAUCUUCAAGGGCUUUUGGGCUUAAUCUUGAAGAAACGGUUGGAUGUGUGGAUUUGUCGACGUUGUUGAUCCAAAGGGCCGUUGGGGCUUGAUCUUGGAUGAACGGAUGAUGAACGAUGGACACUUUCUUCAAGGGCCGUCGGGGUUUGAUCUUGAAUUGGUGGAUGAUUGUUGAUCCAAAGGGCCGUUUGGGCUUGAUCUUGGAAGAACGAUGAACGAAGAACGAAGAGAGCUUUCUUGAUUCUUCGGGAACCUGGAUGCUUGAGAGCUUCGGAGUUUCAGAGCUUCAGAGCUUCAAGGUGUAAUAUGAAUGAAAUAGGCUUGUAGUUAUAGAAUUUUCCAAGGUCUAAUUUUGAAUAUAAUAUUCCAGAUGAAAUAAGUCGUUUCUGCCAGGUGUUGACACGUGUCCUAUUUGAUGACUUUUCUAACUCAUUUCCAUUUUCGUUGAGUCACACGCUACGUGUAAAAUUUAUGUAAUACAUGAGCGUUGACACUUUGAUUUAUUGGUCAAUAUUUAUUUACCGAAAUUUCGAUGUCUACAAAUGCAUUUACAGAUCAUAUUUUUUAGAAUUUAUUGCUUCCUCGUGAGAUGAUGACUCCUAUUUCUAUUAAUUUUGAGCAAUAUAGAUAUUCUGAAUCUAUGAUGAAUGAAAAAAUGGAAUGCCAAAAAAUAGCAAUGUACCGAGACUUAUAGAACACCUAAGUUUUGAACAUGAAGAUUAAAAAGCUAUCUAUGACAAAAGUAUUUUUGGCAUUUUUGCUAAAAUGAUUCAUAAAAUUGGCAUAACUCAUCACUUUUGGUCACCGAGAUUUGAAAUUAAUAGAGAUGAUUCAUGAGUUUGACUACCAUCAAUUAUUUUGUUAAUUCUGUAAAAAAAUUAAUGUUACAUAAGGAUCAAAAUGACAAAAAAAAAACCCUUAAUUUAAUAAAAUAUGGCCCAAAAUGAUUUGACAAAAUUAAGAUCAUUUUUGUCAUUUUAUCUUUAUUUAACAGAGAAUUUUCACAUAAUAAUCAAAAUGGUUGAUGAUGGAUAAACUCAGCUCAGGAACCAAUUCUAUUAAUUUUAAAUCUCAAUACUAAAUUGAAAAGUUAUAACAAUCUCAGUUCCAACUUGUCCAUGAGUGAAUAGUAAGUUUUUUUUCUUCCGGAACAAGUCCAUGGACUCGUCAGAAGCAAGCUUGUCGCACAGCCCCUGGAUGGAAGAGGAGAGAAAAGCCUCUCCAAUCAAGACUCUUGCCAAUUCUCUCCCCCUCUCCCCUUUUUUUUUUGGUCCUUCAAAGAAGUGUUGAGGUGAGGAAGAACAAGAUACGACUUGAUACUCUUUUGGUCAAUAAUUGAGUGGACUCCACACGUUAAUCAUAGAGUCUAUUUUUUAUAUAUUAUUAUUAUUAUUAUUAUUAUUUUAACAUAUCAUAGUCUUAAUCGUAAUAAUUUUGGAGUAGGAUUUUUUUUUUUUUUUUUCCAUCUCCUUCUCUCUUCUCCAAUUUGAACGAUCACGGUUAAGCCACAUCAACAUCUUAUAUUAAUUUUUUUAUAAAAAAAAAAGAUAAAAUAGAAAAUAUGAAAGAAAAGAAUGGAAAAAGAUGAAAAGAUGAAGAGAGAGAAUCUUAGUCCAAUAUUUUACCUGACAAUUUCCUAAUAAUUGGUUGGUGUGAGAAUGACAGAGUGUGGGUUGGGCGAAUUUUAGUGGACCCCAACGUUAAUCAGGCAUGUAAGUAGCAAUUACAUUGACUUGGUUAAUUAAUAGGCUGCAGUUGGACUAUAAAAAUAGGAUAAAUUUUUCUCUAUGUCUGAAACACGAGCGUUAUACAGCAUAUCAUUAUAUAAGUGAAUGAAACUUUUAUUUUUUAAGUUGUUAAUCUUUUAAUAUAAGUAUCUCACCACUUGUAUAGUGAUAGGUGAUGUACCAUCUAGUGUUCCGGUCGUAUUGAAAAAUUCUCUCCAAAAUCUUCGACUCUCUAUUUUUAAUCCCCAUAAUAAAUUUUUCAUUAUGACCAGAACACGGGUGGUACAUUACAUGUUUUCUGUAAGUGGUGAAAAAUUUUAUUUUUUAAGUUAUUAACAUUUUAACACACAUAUCUCAUCAUUUGUAUAGUGACAUGUGAUGUACUACCCCGUGUUCCAAUCACACUGAAAAAUCUCUCCCUUAUCAGGUCUUAUCACAUGGUCUAUGGGGAGAUCAAAUCUUCUACGCCCAAAAUGGGUGUGGUAUCUCUAUGCCUCUAAUCAUUGUUUGGCACACAUUAGGUUUAUAAAAACAAAGUUAAAAAAAUUAAGUUUAAAAACAAAUGUCAGUCAAUAAUAAGAACCAGAGAGAGGCCACACUCAUCUUAGAGACAGAAAAUUUGAUCACGUUGUAGAGAUGUCAAUGGGUUGUAUGAUAUACACAUACUCUUAUUUACUUCUCGCAUACUCCUUAUUAAUUUUCAUUAUUUAAAAUUUUUCAAUUUAUUCGACCUGAUGGCCUGAAAGUGAGAAAUUAUGUGCGAAAUUUAAAAAAAAAAGUGUAAAUAGCACAUCUCGUUGUAAAAUAGGGAACUUCAACUCGAUUCCAAGCAGGCAACAAAACAUUGUCUUUCAUCAAAAUUUUGUCCUCAAAGUGCGCACCAUAGCAAUCCCUUAUUCUGGCUGUCCACCCAUCCUCUUCAAUUGGUUACUAAUUUCUUCUUUUGCAGUCCGUCCAGAUUAAAAUAAAUAAAAAGGAAUUAAAUUAGUAUCACGCAUUAUAUAAAGACAAACACGUGUUUACGUUUAGAAUGAUAAUUACAAUGAACAAAAUAAUAUGCGUUAAUCUCAAACAACAAACAUAUCAUUAAAACCAAACAACAAGAUCAUGCAUCUAUAAAUCAUAAUUUUUAGAGUUUACUACCUUCUUCGUGAGAUGACUCCAAUUUCUAUUAAUUUUGAGCCACAUAGAUAUUAUGAUGGAUGAAAAAAAAAUGAACGCCAAAAACCAGCAAUGUUCCGACACUUAUGAAACACCCAAUUUUAAAGAUGAAAAUUUAAAAGAUAUUUCUCACAAAAACAAUUCUUUUAAAGAAAACUUAAAAGGCCUCACUAUAAACAUAAAUGAUCUGGGAGGUAGAAACAUUCGGGAAGAGGGAGAGAAAGAGUUUAUAGAUGUGGUUUUGUGGCAUUUGCUACGUGGAGUGGGACGGAACAGGUUCGUCACAUGAUUAGUGCGACAAAAAAACGCGCCUAUCCUUGAAAUGAAUUUUUAGUCUAAUUUUUGUACCACACUCCAUCAUGAAAAAACAAACCCUAAUCUUGUGUCUUUUUUCUCUCCGCGUAGCCUCUCUCUCUCCUCGUUGUCUUCUCCGCGGAGAGGCUCCAUUCUCUGCUUCGUUCUCUGCCUCUGUCUUUCUCUUGUCGCAGCAUCUCAACAUCUCCCCUCUUUGAUUUAAGGGAAUUUUAACGAAAAACUCCCGGUACUGUUCAUUUUAACGAAAAACCACAUUUUUACGUUAAAAAGUCAAUCCUGAUACUAUUCACUUUACCCUUUAUUUUGUCCUUAUCGUUAAAACUCAAAGUUUUCAAACCCUUUUCAUUAGUUUUCCUUUGAUUUAAUUGUCAAUUUUUUCUAAGUUGGUUGUGAUUUUCCUCAUUCAAUUGACCAUGGUGUUCUAUGCGUAGAAGUUGAAAACCCUAGAAAGUUACGGAUUUCACUGAAAUUGAUUUUCGGUUCCACAAGCUUUGCACUGUUUGGGGUUAAGGGUGUAAUUUAGAGGUAUACAUCCGUUUCUGUGUUUAUGUUUAUGCAACUAUUGGCUGAGAAAAUGAAUCGUUUCUUAAUUGUUCCUUCUCACAAGCUUAAGGGAAUAUGGCUGCUGCGAUGAAUAUGAAAUAAUUACCCAGAAAUACAUUAUUACCCAGAAGAACCUAAUAAACUUCUUCCUUACCAACAAAUAUUAAUAUUAAGUGUCAAUGUAACAAAUAUAUCAUAAAUAAGCAUUAAUUUUUUCGUCCUAUUAUCAUUUCAGCAUGCACACCUUUGUCGUUCCGUCUACGCAUUAAACGGUACUUUAAUUCUUGUUAAAUUUGAAUUUUUAUUUUUUAAUCUUAUUUUAUUUUAUUUUAUUUUAAAUGCUCAUAAACUAACUGAAUAGUGGAGCAAAAGUGAAUAGAUUUCAUCUCAAAGGAAAUUGUAUUAAUGAUCUCUCAAUUUUAACUUUAAUGAAGCAAUGAUUCUUCAAUUAAAAAUUUCUUAUCAUUAGUCAUUUUACUCAACAAAACGUGAAACUAUAGACAUUUUCAACAACUCAGUCAUAACUUUCGUCAAAAUAAGACUAAAUCAAUGGGCAAAUAUGAAAAAUUAAAUGAGAAAAUUGUAGCAAUGAUCCCUAAAGUUUAAUCCAAUUGUAGCAAUGGUCCUUUCAACAUGACUCAUUUUGAUAGAGUUGACGAAAAUAACCAUAGUUGCAUGUUUUGAUGAGUUAAAAAAUUAAUGAUCAUAAAUUUUUAAUUGAGGAACCCUUGCUCAAACUAAGUUAAAGUUAUACUGCUACAAUGUCUCUUAGCAUAAAUGGGGUAUUUAGCCAUAAAGAAAAGUAUAUAAUUAAAAUUCAAGGGAAAAUUCGAUAAAUAGUUAAAAUGAAACUAAAAAUCAGAGUUGAAACUUGAAAGUAUAACCUCAAACAAAUUAUUUGGUUUGAACGAAAAACGAGUCUAAUUGCAGCAAAAUAAUGUAUCCCGCCACUAAUCACCGCGCCUUCUCUUGAAGCGCUUACUCUCUCUCUCUCUCUCUCUGUCUAUCUCUGAGUUGCCGUAGCAUCGACCACCCAAGAAAACCGUACGUCUCCAGGUGCCUCACUCUGCAUUCAAAUGUGAACCAUUUCUAGGGUUUCAUUUCAGCAGGGCGUCUUUGGAGUGUUGCAAUUUUCAAAGUAUAAACUUUUCCCUUAUCAUCCCACUUCCCCCAUUCUCAAAUUUGCCAUAUUUUCCUUAUCUUCAACGCCUUUGUCCUUUUCGCAGAAAGCCCGUCGCCGAUUGAUUCAAUCCGUAGCAGAUUUUGGAGCGAAGAAGCUCCAUUGAUCCCGAAUACACAAAUGUGUUGGAGCAAUGAAUAGGGCACCUCAUAUGAGGCAAGAGUAAGAGGAACAAAGAAAUAGCCUUUUUACUUUGCAUUAUAUUCCCGUUGCUUCCAUUGUUAUUUAUCCGGAAUUCGGGUAUGUGCAGUCGCCCCAAUCUGGCUCAAGAUUUCUGUGCCCAGACGCCUGUUAAAGCUAAUUUGUUGGAACAUGUCGAUGCACUUGAUAAUUUCUCGUGCCCGCAUUGUGUUCUGAGCUCAAAUUUUAUUUUCUCCUUACCAACACAAAAGCCUCUUGCCGAAGAGGCAAUGGUUUCCGGGUAUGUCGCGGUUAUACGUGUUUUGUUUCAUUUUUAUUUUUUUGUUUUUGUACUGUUAUUUCAUUUUAUCUUGAGGAUUACUUGUUAUUUGGUGACAACUUGACAUCAGUUUAUGUAUUUGGUCAUUGUGGUCUUUUGCUUGGGUAAGAUAUAGCUCUUGUGUUUGUGUUAUUUACAGGAUUCAUUGUUUGUUUCAGCUAAUUUUAAGUUUCAUCUACCUUAGCGGGGUAUGGGUCCCUGUGUAAAAGAAUCCCCCACUAUAGCGAAGCUAAUUUAUAUGUCUAUAGUUGUAUUAAUGUGGUAUCUAAAUGGAGUAUUAUUACUCGUGAGUUAUAGUUCAAAUCAACAGUACUCAUGUACGUAAAACAUAAUUUAGAGCUAAGCCAUCAGAACCAAACUAAGAAACAUAAAAGUGAUUCCUCUAAUACAGAUGGAGGCCAUUAUUCUCUUAUUCACAUACAAUCCUAAAAAAUUUCCCUAAGAUGAAUUCCUUUUACGGAAACCAAGUUAGUACAUAUAUACAUAUGAUAUCAUCAUUUAGGAACCCCUUAAGAUUGGGGGCCCUGUGCAAGGGCACCUAUUGCACAUGCCCAAGGCCACCACUGCAAUCCAUUCCCAAAUAUUAAUAUCUAUCCCAAAUAUUAAUGUAGGCAAAAUUCAUGCCUCUGCAAUCCAUUCCCAAGAUGAGAAUUGUUUACAGAAAAAAAAAAUGAUCUGAAUUACAUCGGGGUUGUUGAAUCUCUUUCUAAAAUUUCUUAGUAACGAACUGUUUCAAGUCGCUUUACAUAUUGAAAAACUCUGCUUGAAGUAUUACAUCUUGGUUUCUAUCCAUGAACCCUUUUCUUUGGUUACAUUAAGUGCUAAACUCAAUAUCUGCAGUUCAUGGUAGAACAUGAUAUUUGUUAUCUUUUUCCUCUCUCUCCUAGAAAUAGGGAACAAGCCAUCUAAGAAAUAGCUAUCACCAAUUUUAUUAAUGUAAUUUUUUUUACUGGAACUGAAAAUAGUCAUUGUCACAAAUGCUAACGGGUUUAUUGUGCUUCAAGAAGCUCCACACAUGCAUUUCUGAAGUUUUCUAUUAUAGAUAGUACUUGCAUUUGUAUAUGCUAAUCUUUGCAACUUCAAUUUUGCAUUUGUACAUGCUAAUCUUUGCAACUUCAAUACAAUUUGACAGUGCCAUUUUUUAAGUCUCAAAGGCUGCAUCGUUUUGGUUAUGUUUGUUGGCAAUCUCACCGCCGCAAUCGCUCCACGCUUUGUUGUUAAGUUUUUGUAUCAGUAUUAUAGACCUUGUGAUGUUCAGAUUGCAAGAGAAUUCGAGAAGUUUGGCAAUCCAAGAGCGUCCCCUGCACAAAUAGAAAUGGAUGCGAUCUUGGACCCGCCGAGGAGAUGAGCAGGUGAUGUUAUUGCUUUCGACAUCUCCUUCUUUUUGUAUCUUUUGUAAAAAGGUUAUUCUUUAGGCUGCUUCAGAGUAUCUCUCUCCCAGUUGCCUCAUUGUUCAUUGUUUGCUAUCCGAAGGAUAGGGUUUGUAACUUUGUAGUGCUAGGCUUAUAUUUUGUGUUCCUCUUUUGUUUUGUUGUACCUUAUUCAUUCGGUGUAAUUAGACUUGUUUAAAGAGAAAAGAAUUAGACAAUCGAUACAAUACAUGAAUUUUACCACAUAAGUUUGGAUUGUGUUCAGAUUGAAUCCUUCAUACCAACUUGAAAUCGACCAAAAAGUACAGGGGUUUCAAACAGAUGUAGGACAGAGUCCUACAUCCUGCCUCAGGUCUCCUCUCGUCUCCUUUCUUUCAUUCAGCGACUUGGGAGAUAAAAAAUAUAAUAUACAAAUUAUGUGGGAAGUUUACCAUUAAAUAUUACUGUGGCAUUAUGUGAUAAAGUUUACACCAAGUAAUCGAUGGUUAAGGACAAUAUCAGUGAAUGAAUGAGAUCAUAAGCAACACCUAGUAAUGAUAAAACCCACGCCUAGUAAUGAUAGGCCUAAAAAGUGUCAUGGUAUCACUAUCAAAACAUGUUAUUCUUACACGAAAAGUUGUGUUUGCAUCGGCAUAAUAAAUGAGUUAUUGGUUCUGUUAUCCCACCCCUAGGAAAUAAUAGGUAGUGUUACGUACUAUGCUAUGCAAGUCUUAAAUCUUUAAAGAAAGAAUCCAACCAUUAACUGCCACAUCAUGCAGUCAACAACAUAUGGUUCAAAAACAGCCAUAACUAGUAGUGUUACGUACUAUGUGAUGCAAGUCUUAAAUCAUUAAAGAAAGAAUCCAACCAUCAGUACUAUGUGAUGCAAGUCUUAAAUCAUUAAAGAAAGAAUUCAACCAUCAACUGUCACAUCAUGCGGCCAACAACAUAUGAUUCAAAAACAUUAACAACAUAUGAUUCAAAAACAUUCUCCCUAGCAUUUUCCUUAAAAUUUUAGUUUGUCAACCAAAAAGUAAUUAAAUUUUUAGUUUUACGUGCUAGUGGAAUACACGUAACAUAAGUAAAAGUGAAAAUAUUAAAAUGAGAAGGUUGUAAGCACUCCCAUUUGUAUUUAAUCAAAACUCAAUAACAAUUUCAUAUCCUAAAACAGGUCAAAUGAAACAAUUAUUCUUUGAAGAACCGCCAAGCAAACGAUGAAUGCAGAACCCCGUGUCCUAAUGCACCAAACAACGGGCUUCGUACUAUUAGUCAUAUCCUGUACUUUACGCGGCAUGCCAAACGAGGCCAUGGUGUGCUAAUUCAUGGAGAGCACCAUACAUCUGAGUAGGGCAUUGCGACAAAGUGACCCAAUUUCUCGCUUCAUAUUUUUACAUUGUGCAGUAUUCAUGACCACAAACGCAAGCCACGCCACCUAGUCAAGGAAACGUAAUGUACAGGUAUUCAAGCAAGCACGGCCAUGAGGCAGCACGCAACGAACCCACACACUCUUCACCGUAUCCGCACUGUGUCUACCUGAAGAUUAAAGUGAAAGCGAAAGAUGAGAAAAUCAUGCCGCCGUAUUCAAUCACACCAGUAUGUGAAAACCAUCAUCCUGCGGUGGGGUUACCUUUUCGAUGCAGGAGAAUCAUAUUCAAGCCGGAUAGGCAGAGCCACACAGCGGAAUUCAAGGACUACCACUUGUCGUAAUUUUGGUUGCCCCAGAUAGCCAUGUCUUUACAUUUCCACAGAAUGCACAGAAAUAAGUCACCCCCAUCACAAACUGUCCAGGCGUUGUCGAAGACAGAUUCCGCUUGGGAGUUUUCAAUUUUAUAAAACUAGAGCAAAAAGAAACAAGAAAAUAAAAAAUGAGACUUCGAGUGAAUUGGAAGUUCAAGAAUGUUUUAGCACUGAAAAAAAGGGUGCACAAAAUCAAUUAAAACAAGUUUUGAGCAACCUUUUUAAUCAAAUAUAUAAUAGAACAAAAGUAAGAAUUACCUCUAAAAGUUUCACUGAACUUCAAAAAUUGGAGAGCAUUUCCCACAUCCUCAGCAGCUAAUGGUGGCCUGAGGUAGGGGAAGCUCAAGAUCAACCUCUCUGCUCUCAAUGCGGCGUUCCUUGACCCUGCGACACCCUCCUGCAGCCUUGCCCUUGCUCUUGCCCUUGGUAUUAUUCUUAUUCACAGCAGCAGCACCAUCUCUGCUGCAUUACAAGUUUCCAUCAACUCGUCCUGCUUUGCCGCAUCCCAGUACUUCACAUCAUUGCUCUGAUCAAGGGCGUUCUCCUUCCCUCGUUUGCUAGGUGAAUCAACACACAUUGCCUGCCAAAACUUGAGACCAUAAGCCCUCCUAAACAGAAUUAAAACCAACCAACAACAAUAUCAAUAUGCAUUCUCAAAGAAAAAACUAUAAUCAAUAGCACCAUCUCUGCUGCCAAAAACAACCUCUUGAGUCUCAAUAGUCCUGGGCCAUUCCUUGACUUUAUGAUGCUUUCUGAACGCCUUGGCAUUGACAUCCUUAUUGCUCACAGCAGCAGCACCAUCUCUGCGGCCAUUACAAAUUUCCAUCAACUCUUCCUGCUUUGUUUUCAUAGUUUCCUGCUCACCAGAUUUGGAGAUGCAUCCAAGUUCAUAUCUUUGCUUCCACCAAGAGACUUCUCCAUCCCUCGUUUUCUUGGUGAACCAACACCGGUUACUUAUCAAAACUCGAGGGCAUAAACCCGCUUGAACGUCACUAAAACCUUGUUUGAAUCCAUACGUUUUUUUAGGCAAACCAUCCUUGCUUUCGACAUCCAUCUCCCCUUGUUUCUUUGGCUUGAACAUACUUGAAGGGAUUGCUCAUAUUUUAUUAGAUUCGAAUUGUAGUUGCAUGUCACCACACAUAGAGAAAACAUACCUUUUUGUCCUGAUACAACUCAAGGGAUAGCUCAUAACAUCCCCAAUGAUAGAGCAAAAUGCUGUAAUCUCUCAGUUCCUUUGGAUCGCUUCAUAGGCUGUGACAACGGGCACAAUCUCAGAUUAAAAUCGUUUUCUUUAAGGAGAGUAUGUAGACAUUCCAACAAAAAUUCAUGGAGGGUAUGUGCACAGUUAAUGCAGUGAAAGAAGACAGCUUUACCUUCAGAUCGAUGCGUUCUCCCACUUCAUUUCCACAUCAAGAUGUGAAAAUCCUGUUUCUUCUCAUAUCUGUUUCGAUAGGAUGCCAACACAAGUGCUUUUCUUUUUCAUACCCCAGCUCAACAUGUAUGAAUACUGCUAAAUUCAAAUAUGGUGAAAUUAUAAACGAUCGAAUUGAUCUUAGAAAACAAGCAAAUGGUUCUUAAAAUGAAACCUAAUUGGUGCAGCUUCUUAAAUAAUUCCAGCUAAUAAAAAGAUUGAAUUAGCAUCAACUUAUACAUGAGCUAUCCAUUAUAUUACGUCACAGUUAACAAGUGGACUUUUUCUUUAUAUUGAUGAAUGUAAUCAGCAUGUCUCUGACUACACCGUCGCUCUUUAUCUCAAUUAAAAAGGAAAAAAAGUUGUUUAUUUAUGAACUUUUCAGAAACAAAAGUGAAAUGGAACUCAAUUUUAUCAUCUGCAGUGUUCAACAUAAGAAAUAUCAUUCCUGUGAAAUGUGUAGUGCAGCAACCACCCACCUGCUCUAGUAACAUAAUGGACAGAAUUCCAACGAGGGCAAGCAUGAGGGCAGUGCUCCAUAGAAACCUGGCUCUCAUUUUGUUUUGUGGACAUCAUCACCCGUUCUCACUUCAACAGAGAUGUGUGUGUACAAAAACAUAUCUGCACCCACCCGAAGAUGGCAGCAACAUGAAGAGAAAAUGAAAAGGAAUGCUGCUUGUAUUGAAAAUAAAGCAAUAUAUGAGUAAAACAUCAUUCCUGGGGUUACCUAUCCAAUUGAAGGAGAAUCAUAUUCAUGCCACACUGCGGGACAACCAUUCAUGGACAGCUAAUUGAUGGACGUUUAAAUCAUUGGCCUUAGAUAAUCCAAUCAUUACAGUUCCACAGUUUGCUAUCUGCAUCAGCAAAGCCGACGAACACGUUAGUGACAUUUUUCUUUAAAGGAAAAAGAAAACAGAACAAGAAAGAGAUGCAGUAUGCUGGGCCGAAACAAUUCAAUAGAAAUUUCUGCAGAUACAUGUGACAAAUUUUUCUCCUCUGCCCUGUUCCUUUUAUUUUAGUAAUUGAACUCUGAAACUUUGAAAAGAAUUCAGCAGGAUUGUUCACUCACUCUUUAAAUCUUAGAUAGGGGAUGAAACAGGAUACUCCUUACAUCAUUUAAGUUAUGAGCCAGCACUAUUUAUGUGUGUGUGUGUGUACACACACACACACACACACACACACACACAUCAAUCAUUAAAGUUAUGAACCAGCACCAUGUAUGUGUGUGUGUGUGUAUAAUGUGUCUAUAUAUAUAUUGCAACAAAAAAUAUGGCGAAACAACUAUAAAUGGUUAACUACAAAAAUGAAAGAAAAAUCGCUAUGUAGAUUUUAUGUAGAAAAGUUGAGACAAUCAAUAUAACAAAUAAAGAUAAAGUACCUGACAUUAGAGAGUUGAGAGUGAAAUGAAAAGCAAAAGUUUUGGUGAUAGAGAGAGAGAGAGAGAGAGAGAGAGAGAUCAUAUCAUGAUCACUUUGUCAUCUAUCUUUAUGCAAGGAAUAUGAGCUAUCUUUCUCCAUUCUUUUCCCUUCUUGUUCUCAUACCUCUUCUUCAUAGAGGGGCAUCUGGUGAUGUUCAGGAAAGAAAUAGAUGCCGGAAAACCCUGUUUUGGCAGGAAGUCGAGACUAUCACACCUUCCAAUAUAUAGCUUUUGAAGAGAAGUGCGGUGUUGAAGUCCAUUUCUGUCGCAGCUGUUCCUUGAGCAACAUCUUCAACACAUCCUCGCUGCUGAUCUGAAAUCUUCGAAGGGAGACAAGUCGUUGCAAACCCCAGUUCUCCACUGAAGGCCUCAAUUUCUCACAAUCUCUAUUAUGAAAUGUUUGUAGGUUGGGAGGCAAACCCCUUUCACCAAAUGACACAAGAUUUGGAAGAUCCCAGGUGCUCAAUUUUUGAAGGGUGGUGUGGGUGUGCGUAUGCUUGGGCAAUAACUUCAUAUUAUCGAUCCCCAGACUCCGAUAUGAAAUUUUUGCUAUCGCAUCCCUUUGACGUUGGCCAAUCUUUCAUUUUGCUCCCCAAUCCAUCCCCUCGAUGUCCUGGAGGAAAGACUGAAAAGAUCUUUUAACUUGAAAUGCAGAAAACAGGACAAUUACAAAAUUAUAAUUUGCAUAAUAUGUAUCUUCUACUUACUUUGUGUUAAGAGCCUCAUCACAGAGGAAAUUUAAAAGCUUAAGGCAUCAUAUCCAUCCUCACCUCCACUAAAACACUCUGCGGGCAGAUCCUUCAACCUUAGCGACCCUGGACGCAGAGAUCAGGUUCUCCAAAUCUUGGAACCAUGAGCAGUUGGUGCUUGCUUGCUCUAGAGGCCUUAGGAAUAAUGCCUUCACAUUUGUCCCUACUUUUCCCAUUUAUCAUCGCAAUCAAACUCUGAAAGUGGAAACAAAAUUUAGACAUGAUUUGACAAGGAAAGAUAGCAAUGUGAAAGUUUUAGUGGGAGCAGAGUAGUAAUCACUUGAGGUGUACCAAGAUGCAAAAUAAUAAGAAAAUUUAGGAACCAGUUUUCCUGAAUUUCUUAUUCCUAAAAUAUUGAGUAAACAACUCUAGUAGAGAAAUUCAAAUUUUACUUGUGAUGGAAAAGAAUAUAUAUAUAUAUAUAUAUAUAUAUAUAUAUAUAUAUAUAUAUAUAUCAAAGUCCUUCACAAAAAUUGCUUGUUUCUUCUCAUCGAUAUUGAAUGCAGAUGUCAACUCAAGCACAUUCCUUUUUCAUACCUUGUCUCAGAAAGAUACCUCAAAUUCAAAGUUGAAGAUACUAUAAAUUAAUGAGUGAUCAAAGAAAACAAGCAUAUGUCUCAGUGGAACCUAAUUAGCACAGCUUCUUCAAAUUAAAUUCCAGUUUGUUACGCAUUCAAGUUUGACAAUCUGGAUCUUUUCCUCAUCUUAAGAUGAAUGUGCAUUCUACCACGCUCAAAUCAUAUCAGUAUGAGAAAGGGAAAAAAAACAUCAUCCAGGGUUACCUCCUCGCCCAUGCAGGAGAAUCAUAUUCUUUACAGAUAGCCAUGGCACGAUUCAACAACUGGUAAUUUAUGUAAGCAAACACACGUUGCCCUUGGAUGAUAUUGUCCUGAAAUUUAAAGGACCACGGUUUUGUUAGAGUAGCGUAGUUGAAUUAAACAAUUAAAAACUGACUGAUUCAUUGAUUAAUUAAACAGAGUAUACGUAUAGAUGACUGUAAACAAUUGAAGAGAAACUUCUACAGAAUCUGAAUCUUGGUUAUGGAACGAAAAUGGUGGUAUGUACGUACCUGACUAUGACUUGAGGCCUCAAAUGAUGACUUGAUCGUCUAUCUUGAUGCAAGGAAUGUGAGCUAUCUUGCUCCACUCUUGUCCCGUCUUCUUCUGACAACUCUUCUCCAGGGAAGAACACUUUUGGAUGCUCAGACAAGAGAGCGAUGCCGGCAAACCCUCUUUUGGCAGGAAUUCGAGACUACGACAAUCCCAAAUUUCGAGCUCUUGAAGAGAAGUGAGGUGUUGAAGUCCCUUUCCCUCCAAAGAUUUCAGACUUUCCAUUCCAGAGAUUACGAGAGAGUGAAGAGUGGUAGGUAGCAGCUGUUCCUUGAGCACCGUCUUCAACAGAUCCUUGCGGCUUGAGAUCCGAAAUGUUCGAAGGGAGACAAGUCGUUGCAAACCCCAGUACUCCACCGAAGGCCUCAGUUUCUCACAACCACUGAUUGCAAAUGAUUGUAGGUUGGGAGGCAAACCCCCUUCUGCAAAUGACUCGACAUUUGGAAGAUUGGAUAUACUUAAGUCUCGAAGGGCGGUGAGGGUGUGUAUUCGGUCGGGCAAUAACUUCAAAUUCUUGCAUCCACAGACUGUAAAUCGAGCCAGUUUGGGAGUGCGCAAUCCCCCGUGGGGAAAAGAGACCAGAUUUGGACAGAAAUAGAUAAGGAGAUAGUCGAGAUGAGUGAGAUUUUCGUCAUCAGCUCCUUCUCCAAUGGCAAGGGAUUCUAGAUUUUUACUGCCCCAGAUAUAAAGAAAUGAAAGUUUGGGGAAAACGCCCAGCGGGAAGGACCUCAGUGAAUCACAGCUGUCCCUCAAAUCCAAAUUUCGAAGGGAUGUCAAUUUGGCCAUCAUCUCAUGAGAUAGGAAUUCUAAUCUCCUGCAAUUUUCUAUUCCAAGAUAUGUCAACGAAGUGGGUAGACCGUUUCUCGGGAACGACAAGAGUGACGCGCAGUUAACGAGACUCAAACUUUGAAGACAACUGCUGAAGUGCGGCUGCAAGCAAUCCGUGCGACUAAAAAUUUGAAUCUCAAGCGUCCGAAGCGAGGACAGCGACUCCGUCUCUAGUAACGACGAUAGACCAGGGCAUCUAACUAUCUUCAGUUGUUUAAGAGAUUGUCGCAAGGACUCCGUGUUGAAGAUGAGAGACCAAGGUAUCCAUCUUGUUCUGGUAGCCCUUUCAUGUAGAACCCCGCAGUCUGACACCCAAAGCUGUCUCAAUGAAGGAAGAUGAUCGGGCAAGUUUCCCUUCAGCUUCGGACAAUUCUCUAAAAUGAGCACCUCAAGACGAGGAAAGUCUGGAGAUUGACCUCUACCUGGACUCGACAGCCAUUCCUCCCACUCCGGCAUCUCUUUGAACUCUAGCUUCUUGAGAGAUUGAAAUGGUUGACUUAGAGAAGCUCCAUUACCCCCGUAGAACUCAACACCAAUACUCACAACAGUUUUCAUCCUUUCUAUAUAGAGCUCUCUUAGAGCGGGUAACCGCCCAACUGGUGGCAAUGAGAAGCAAGUACUACAAUCACUAAGACGCAUGACUUGUACGUUGGAGAAGGAAGAGUCUCCCAACCAAUACGGAAAGCUGGUUCCACCAUAAAAUCUGAUGGUCAGCUUCACGAGAUUCACAGAAGGCUGUAGGCUUUCAAGUACGUGUCUCUCUUUUAUGGAAUCAUCUGCUUCCUCACGACCCCAUGCCAACUCUACUUCGUUGAGAUCUUUCUUAUCCUUCAAAUUGGCCCCCAAGGCAUCUAUAGGAUUGACGACAUUUUGUAGAUUCAAGAUAGAGAGUUUUCCUCGAAGGUUCGACAAUUGCCCCAGUUCACCAAUGCCACCCGACCUAGUAGAUUCCCCCAACACAAAAGCAGUCAAUGUUCUCAAACUUUUUAGUCUACCCAUUUGCACCGGCAUCUCUUUUAUACAAGUUCCACUAAUAUCAAGAUGACGCAAAUUAAUCAAUUUCCUCAUGUCUGCAGGCAAUUCAACAAGAGAGGAACAACCGACCAACAAUAGAGUUUGCAAAUUGUAGAGAGUACACAACGUAUCUGGUAACUUUUUUACUGCAGUGUAAGAAAGAUCAAUGUAGCGCAAGUUUAAGUGUUUACCAAUGUUAUCAGGUAAUUGCGUGAUAUUUUUAUAUCUUGACAGCGACAACACUCGUAAACAUUUUAGUGCUGGUAAUAAAUCAUCUAGAACCUUUAUGCUUACAUAUAGGCUCUCCCAUUGAUGGUAUGGUCUUAAAGACACGGGAAAUAAGGUGCGCAAACACUUAAUUUCAUCCAAUGGCUUAAAUCUUGCAGCAGUAUCAAAUCUUCCUCUCAUAUAUGACAAAUGCCGAACUCUUUUAGGAACUUCAUGCGACUCUCCCUCAUCCAACCAAAAACAAAAUUCUCCAGACACAAAUCUAGCCAAAUCAUUAAUGAGAUCAUGCAUUGUGAAACUUGAUGAUUUCCAAAUUAAUGAUCUUUGAAGUAGUGAUCGUGACAAUAGUUCAUCAAAGUAUCUAUCACCGAGCUCUUCCAAUCCUUUACUGUUCUCAUCUUGUGGAAUUAAACCCACUGCCAACCAAAGUAGAAUUAUAUUUUUCUUUUCAAAUUCAUAGUCCUUUGGGAAAAUUGAGAGAUAAGCAAAGCAUUGUUUUAAAUAAGUAGGGAGAUAAUGAUAACUCAAUCUUAAAGAUGGAAAAACACUUUUAUCAGUAUGCAAUAUCUCCCAAAGAUUGCUAUUCUAUAUGUGACUCCACUCUCUGUAACUUACAUUACAACCUAAGAGACCCCCAAGUGCUUUUGCAGCUAAAGGAAGACCGUUGCACUUGCGUGCAAUUUGCUUACCAAUUUCUUCCAAGUGUGGAUGUGCACUAGGAUUUUCAUUUCUAAAUGCAUGUUUUCUGAGCAACAACCAACAAUCAUUAUGCGACAAAUGUUUCAAAUAGUGAAUAGGACCGGUGUGCACAAUGGAUGCGACACUUUUGUUCCUUGUUGUCACUAUGACUUUACUUCCCCUCGCCCCAUAAGUAAAAGGAGCCCGUACAAGAUCCCAAUCACUAUAGUUGUCAUUCCAAAGGUCAUCCAACACAAAUAGGAACUUUUUCUCCCUCACGUGUUCCCUAAGUUCAACUUGAAGCAAGCUAUCUUGAAGACUGCAAGGUUUUGAGAUAAUUGAUUCAAUAAGGGUUUUAGUUACCCUCAUAGCAUCAAAAUCUUCGGAAACACAGGCCCAAGCUGUAACAUCAAAAUGCUCUUUUAUAUUUUUAUCAUUGUAAAGGAGCUGAGCAAGGGCUGUCUUACCGACCCCACCCAUUCCCACUAUGGGGAUUACUGAUAUGUGGCUGCUACUUGCAUCAUCCGAUAGCAACAUUCUUUUCAACUUCUUUUUAUCUCCAUCCCUACCACAAGCACUAAAGUCAUGCUCAACAAAAGAUGUUGUGGGAGUUUUUUGAGAAACCUUCUCCUUAACGCCUCCUAUAAGACCAAGGAGAUCUUUUUGUUUCGCAAGGUGUUCCAACCUUUGGAAUAACUCUUGUAUCCUACCAUUCAUGCCUUGACAAAAAGGAUUAAAAGAAGUAGAGAGGAAGUUCCACACCUGGGACGUCUUUUUGGUUUGAUAUUCAUCAGCUUCCACCUUGCUUCGCAAAACUUCAGUAUCGAUCUCAGCCAGCAGGUCCUCGGCAUCGAAGAUGGCAUUUUUGAGCUCGUCGAGCCACUUUCUCACACGAGGUUUCUGAAUCUGCUUCUCCUCUGCAUCAUCGAGCACUGCAUCGAGGGUAAGAAAAGUCACCUUCAGUUUCUCCAAGAGUGAAUGGUCAAGUUUUUUCCGCCGGAAGAAGUCCAUGAACUCCCCAGAAGUAAUCUUGUCGCCCAACGUCCGGAUGGAAGCAGAGAGAAAAGCCUCUCCAAUCAAAGCUCCUGCCAUGUCAGUCUCUCUCUCUCUGUUUUUUUUUUUUCCUUCAAAGAAGUGUUGAGGUGAGGAAGAAUAAGAGACUUAGGAAUAUAAGCUUGAUUUCGUUUCGGAGAGAGACGACUUGAUUUUUUUUAAGUCAAUAAUUCAGUGGACCCAACACUUUAAUCAUAGAGACGGCUUUGAUUAAUUUUGGUCAAUACUUCAAUAUCUUUUUGUUGUCAAAGUCAAUAAUUGAAUAUUGAACCCCACACGUCAAUCAUAGUCUUAUUCCCUAUAAUUUAACUGAAAAUUUCCUAGCACUACCAGUUGUUGUGUGUGAGAGUGUGGGUGGGAUGACAAUUUCCUAGUAAUUAACCGUAACAUGAUUGUUGUCUGUUAAUACUAGAAAUCGCGUUGGGAUUUUGCUCUUCAAGUGCUGUGUUGCAGAUGCGGUUGAACUCAAGCAAAACAACGGUCGCUUAGCCUAGCCAUAAGUUGAAAAAGUAAUUUGCAUGAAACGGACUCAUUCACCGCCUGACGUCUUGAUUUUAAUGUAACAUUACAAUGUCGUAUGAACAUCAAACAACUUACAUGUAAAAUUGUAUUUUUAGACCGUAACAACACAAUAACGGCGAUACUCGUUUCAUAUUAUGUCAUUCUCCAUAAUUUGCAUAUGUGAUCAACGAAUCCGGCCAUGAUUCGGCCUUUUGCAAUCAUGAUCCAGCCAUGAUUUGGCCUUUUGCAAUCAUGAUUCGGUCAUUUGCUUUAGCUUUGAAGAUGUUGGUGCAUUUUUAUAGUAAAUUUCCGAGCUGAUGACUUGCAAACAAAUGACCUAUGAAAUAUGACAAAGUAAGGAAGUGACUUUUUGUAACCGGAAAAAAAAAAUUGGACGGUAAAUUUAAUAAAAUGUGGCCCAAAAUGAUUUGACAAAAUUAAGGGUAUUUUUAUCAUUUUAUCCUUAUAUUACGGAGAUUUUUCACAGAAUAAUCAAAAUGAUUGAUGGUAGAUAAAUUCAUCUUAUGAAUCAAUUCUAUUGAUUUUAAAUCUCAACUAAAUUGAGAAGUUAUGAUAAUUUCAAUUUCAGCUGAGUGAAUGGUAAGUUUUUUUCGGCCGGAACAGGUCAUGAACUCGUCAGAACAAUCUUGUACUGGAUGGAAGAGGAGAGAAAAGCCUCUCCAAUCAAAAGCUCUUGCCAUUUUCUCCCCCUCUCUUAUUUUAUUUUUUUGUCCUUCAAAGUAAGUGUUGAGGUCAGGAGGUGAGGAGGAACAAGAGACGACUUGAUACACUUUUUUUCUCCCUCACACGUUAAUCAUAGUUUUUUAUUUUUUAUUUAUUUUUAACAUAUCAUAGUCUUAAUUCUUAUAAUUUAAGGAAAACUAAUGAAAAUGACUUAAAAACUUUGAAUUUUAACGAAAAGAAUAAAAAGGUGUUAUAAGUAAAUAGUACUAUAAUAAAAUUUUUAGAAUAAAAAUGUGAUUUUUCGUUAAAAUGAACAAUACCAGAAAAUUUUCGUUAAAAUUUUCAAUAAUUUAACUGACAAUGACAAUUUCCUAAUAUUUGGUGGUGUGAGAGUGACAGAGUGGUGUGGGUGAAUUUCAGUGGAUCCCACACGUUAAAGUAGCAAUUACAGUGACUUGGUUAAUUAAUAUAUUGCAGUUGGAUUAUAAACAUAAGAGAAAUUUUUCUUUGUGUUUGGAAUAUGAGUAAUAUACCGCAUGUUAUUAUAUAAGCAAAUAAAAAUUUUAUUUUUUUAAGUUGUUAAUUUUUUACUAUAAGUAUCUCUUUACUUGUAUAGUGACACGUGAUAUAUCACCCGUGUUCCAAUCGCACUGAAAAAUCUUUCACUUGCUAGGUCUUAUCACAGGUAUAUGGGGAGAUCAAAUCUUUUAGGGAACUUUAACGAAAAGCUCCCGGUACCGUUCAUUUUAACGAAAAACCACAUUUUUACACUAAAAAGUCAAUUAUGGUACUAUUCAUGUUACUUUUUAUGUUGUCAUUAUCGUUAAAACUCAAAAUUUUCAAGUUAUUUUUAUUAGUUUUCUUAAUUUUUUAUGCUCAAAAUAGGUGUGGUCUUUACCUCUAAUCAUUAUUUGAUGCACAUUAAAUUUAUAAAAACAAAAUUAACAAAAAUUAAAUUUAUAAAUAAAUGUCGAUCAAUAAUUAAAGCUAGAGAAGCCACACUCAUCUUAAAGACAAAAAAUUGAUCACAUUCUAGGGAUCAAAUAAAUUGUAAAAUAGGGGAACUUCAACUCGAUUCCAAACAGGCAACAGAACUUUGUCUUUCAUCAAAGGACUUGGAUUGUCUGCCCUCCCAUUUCGGUGCCCUUUCCGUGCCCUCCUAUUUUGUGUGGUCACGGUUAAGCCACGUUAAUAUUUUAUAUUAUUUUUUUAUAAAAAUAAUAAAACAAAAAGAAAUAGUAAUAUAAAAUGUUGACGUGGCUUAACCGUGACCACAAAAACAGAAGGGCACGGGGAGGGCAGACAAUCCAAGUCCUUCAUCAAAAUGUUGUCCUCGAAGUGCGCACCCUAGCCAUCCCUUCUUCUGGUUGUCCACCCAACCUUUUCAAUUGAUUACUAAUUUCUUCUUUUGCAGCCGUCCAGAUUAAAAUGAAUAAAAAUGAAUUAAAUUAGUGUCACUCGUCAUAUGAAGAUAAAUACGUGUUCACUCAAAAGGAUAAUUACAACAAACAAAGUAAUAUGCGUCAAUCUCAAAUAACAAACAUAUCAUUAAAAAUAAACAGCAAGAUCAUGCAUCUAUGAAUCAUAAUUUUUAGAGUUUACUACCUUCUUAAUGAGAUGACUCCAAGUUCUAUUAAUUUUGAGCCACAUAGAUAUUAUGAUGGAUGAAAAAAUGAAGGCAAAAAAGCAGCAAUGUUCCGUGACUUAUGAAACACCCAACUUGAAACAUGAAAAUCUGAAAGAUAAUUCUCUAAAAACAAUUUCUUUUAAAAGAAAACUUAGAAGGCCUCACUAUAAACAUAACGAUCUGGGAGGGAAGAAACAUUCGGGAAGAGGGAGAGAGAGUUUAGAGAUGUGGUUUUGUGGUGUUUGGUACGUGGAGUGAGACAGAACAGAUUCGUCUCAUAUUUGAUGUGACAAAAAACGUGAAACGCACCUAUCCUUAGAAUGAUUUUUAGUCUAAUUUUUGUACCACACUCCCUCAUAAAAAAGACUUAUUCCACUCCAAAACGAACUUAUUUCACCCCAUGGAACAUAAAAAUACUCCUUCUGUUUUUUAAUAAUUCCACACCAAAUCAUAAAAACAAACCCACAAACCCUAAUCUUGUGUCUCGCUUCUCUUCUCGUAGCCUCUCUCCUCUCCUCGUUGUCUUCUCGGCGGAGAGGCUCCAUUCUCAACUUCGUUCUCUGCCUCUCUUCUCUCGUGGCAGCAUCUCAGCCUCUCCCCGCUUUGAUUUAAUUGUCAGUUUUUCUGGGUUGGUUGUGAUUUUCCUCAUUCAACUGACCACGGUUUUCUAAGUGUAGAAGUUGAAAACCCUAUAAAUUUAUGGGUUUUUACUGAAAUUGAAUUUUCGUUCCACAAGCUUUGUACUGUUUGGGGUUAAUGGUGUAAUUUAGAGGUAUACACCGUUUCUGUGUUUAUGUUUAUGCAACUAUUGGCUGCGAAAAUGAAUCAUUUCUUAAUUUUUCCUUCUCAUAAGCUAGAGAAUAUGGCUGCUGCGAUGAAUGUAAAAUAAUUACCCAGAAACACAUUAUGACCCAGAAAAUCUAAUAAACUUCUUCAUUACCAACAAAUAUUAAUAUUCAUUAAGCGUUAAGUAUAACAAAUAUAUCAUAAAUAAGCAAGGAUACGUUGGCUGUUUAAUCUUUUUGUUCAUUCCGUCUUGCGCGUACCAAACGUGAAACAAAACAACUGCCUCAAUUCAGCAUGCGCAUACCAAACAUGUGGGAAUCAUUGUUCCAUCCCAUUUUAUCUCGUCUACGCACUAAACGGUAUCUUAAUUCUUUUUAAAUUUGAAUUUUAAAUUUUUUAGUCUAAUUUUAUUUUUUGCGAUUUUAAAUGCCCAUAAACUAACCGAAUUGUGGAGGAAAAGUGGAGAGAUUUAAAUGUAAGAGGAAAUUAUAGUAAUAGUCUCUCAACUUUAACCAAUUGAAGUAAUAAUUCUUCAACUAAAAAUCCACAACUAUUGGUCAAUUUACUCAACAAAACGUGCAACUAUGGACAUUUUCGUCAACUCUGUUAUAACUUUCGUCAAAAUGAGGAUAAAUCAAAGGGCAAAUAUGAAAACCAAAUGAGAAAAUUAUAGCAAUGGUGCCUUGACCUUAAUCCAAUUAUAGCAAUGAUCAUUCCAACAUGACUCAUUUUGACAUAAUUUUGAUGGAGUUGACGAAAAUGAUCAUAGUUGCAUGUUUUGAUAAGCUAAGGGAUCAAUAAUCAUAAAUUUUUAAUUGAAAAACUAUUGCUCCAGAUGUUAAAGUUUAGACACUAUUGUUACAAUUUGUCUUAGCAGCAAUGUGGUAUUUUGCCAUAAAUAAAAAGGAAAACUAAUGAAAAUUGUAUGAAAACUUUUAAGUUUUAAUCAAAAGGAUAAAAAAGUGUUGUAAGUGAAUAAUAUCAUGAGUGACUUUUUAGAGUACAAAUAUUAUUUUCGUUAAAAGUAAACAGUGUCAGGAGUGUUUCGUUAAAAAUCUCUGAAUAAAAGUCUAUUACAUGAUUGGCUAAAAUUAAAGUUUAAUGGGGCAAUUGAUAGUAAAUUUCAAGUUUUAGGGGGAAUUCGACAAAUAGUUCAAUGAAACUAAAAAUCAUAGAGUUGAAGAAGAUAUAACCUCAAACAAAUUAUUUGGUUUUAAGGAAAAACAAGUAUAAUUGAAGCAAAAGAAAUGUAUCCCGCCACUAAUCAUCGCGCCUUCUCUUGAAGCGCUUACUCUCUCUCUCUGUCUAUCUCUGAGUUGCCGUAGCAUCGACCACCAGGUGCUCACUCCGCGUCUCCAGGUGCCACUAAUCACCGCGUCUCCAGGUGCCUCACUCCGCAUUCAAAUGUGAAGCAUUUCUAGGGUUUCAUUUCAGCAGGGCGUCUUCGGAGUGUUGCAAUUUUCAAGUUAUAAACUUUUCCCUUAUCAUCCCACUUCCAGCAUUCUCAAAUUUGCCAUAUUUUCCUUAUCUUCAACGCCUUUGUCCUUUUAGCAGAAAGCCCGUCGCCGAUUGAUUCAAUCCGUAGCAGAUUUUGGCGCGAAGAAGCUCCAUUGAUCCCGAAUACACAGAUGUGUUGGAGCAAUGAAUAGGGCACCUCAUAUGAGGCAAGAGUAAGAGGAACAAAGAAAUAGCCUUUUUACUUUGCAUUAUACUCCCGUUGCUUCCAUUGUUAUUUAUUCGGAAUUCGGGUAUGUGCAGUCGUCCCAAUCUGGGUCAAGAUUUCUGUGCCCAGACGCCUGUUAAAGCUAAUUUGUUGGAACAUGUCAAUGCACUUGAUAAUUUCUCGUGCCCGCAUAGUGUUCUGAGCUCAAAUUUUAUUUUCUCCUUACCAACACGAAAGCCUCUUGCCGAAGAGGCAAUGGUUUUCGGGUAUGUCGCGGUUAUAAGUGUUUUGUUUUCAUUUUUUGUUUGUUUGUUUUUUUUUUUUUGUACUGUUAUUUCAUUUUAUCUUGAGGAUUACUUAUUAUUUGGUGACAACUUGACAUCAGUUUUUGUAUUUGGUGAUUGUGGUCUUUUGCUUGGGUAAAAUAUAGCUCUUGUGUUUGUGUUAGUUACAUGAUUUAUUGUUUGUUUCAGCUAAUUUUAAGUUUCAUCUUACCUUAGCGAUCAGGGCCGGUUCUGAGAUUUUAGGGGUAUGGGUCCCUGCAUAAAAGAAUCCCGCUAUAGCGAAGCUAAUUUAUGUGUCUAUAGUUGUAUUAAUAUGGUAUCUAAAUAGCGUAUUAUUACUCAUGAGUUAUGGUUCAAAUCAACAGUAAUCAUGAAAGUAAAACACAAUUUAGAGCUAAACCAUCAGAACCAAACUAAGAAACAUAAAAGUGAUUCCUCUAAUACAGAUGGAGGCCAUAUGGUAAAGCAAUCUAUAUUUGGCGCCAAAAUCUUGCGGGACGCACAAAACGUCGCACAAACGGCCUUUGCGUGACGGCAAGUUGCGCGACGUCGGUCUUGGUCGCGCAAAACAAGUUUGCGCGACGUAGGUUCAGUUAAGUCGCGCAAAACACUUUUGAGUGACGUCGGUCUUCGUCGCGCAAACUUCCGUCGCGCAAAGUCCGUUUGCGCGACGCUUUGUGUUUGACGUCACGCAAACAUACUUUGCGCGACGAAUUUGGCUGCGUCGCGCAAGUUUUCGUCGCGCAAAGUGUUUUUUCUACUAGUGCAUUAUUCUCUUAUUCACAUACAAAUCCUAAAAAAGUUCCCUAGGAUGAAUUCUUUUUACGGAAACCAAGUUGGUACAUAUAUACAUAUGAUAUCAUCAUUUAGGAACCCCUUCAGAUUGGGGGCCCUGUGCAAGGGCACGUAUUGCACAUGCCCAAAGCUGCCACUGUUUGUGAUAGAUAUAUAUAAAUAUAGGAAUCACUUCCCAAGAAUGGGGAUCCCCUCUUGACCGUUAGAUUUGGCUUUAAUGAAAUUAUGUGGUUGAGAUUCAGUGACCUGUGAUAAUCUCAACCACAGAAUUUCAUUAAAGCCAAAUCUAACGGUCAAGAAGGUAUCCCCAUUUUUUUUGAAAAAUGGGGAUCCCUCUUGGGAAGGGGCCUGUAUAUCAUUUUAAGAAUGGAUGCCUUUGUGAAUUCCAUUUUUUGUUUUCCUCGAAUCAAUCAUUUCUGACUGUUGGAUACUCCUUGUUCUUGAUGGUAGACAUGGAUUUUUAUACAACUAACGAUACUACUACCUCAAAGCAUUUAACCUGGUAUGUAUCUUGAGUCUAUUUGAAUAUAUUUUUUUCUUUCUAAUAAAGGUUCUCUUUAUGCUUUUAGCUCAAUGGCUUGUCCAAUUCAAAAUACUGAAAGAUACAGAAUUCUUGAGUCUAUUUGGAUGAGGGGUAGUCAAUCUCAUUUGUCUUUUUAAAUUGGUUAUUUGGUUUUUUCAAUACUUUUGACAAACUGGGGUUCUACCAGCCCUUUCCUGCCAAAGUUUUUCUGGUUUGGCUUUUGCUUCUGAAUGGGAAGAUUUUGGCAGGCUUGGCAUGCCCUUUCCAAUCUUCAGAUUUCUUGUAGGAACUACCCAAAACCUGAAAAACUCUUCUAGUUAAGGAUGUUAGUGCCGAGUAUCGUCCUGAUGUUGGAAGAACUGCUUUGCCAAGCUCAUGCAACAUUGACAAGAGUCGCGUGCAUAUGCAAACGCAUCAAUACAUUAAUGGAACUAAUACCAGGAACAGUGAAGCAGGAACUUGUUUGGGCAACCCGCUUCCAUCAAGUAAUUUUAAUGUUGCAGAUGCAGGAAAAAAUCUUGGACGGCAAAGUCAGGUCAGAGCAUCAAUGGUCAACAGCUCUGAUGCUCGGGUGUUGGAUGGAUCACUUAGCAACAAUAGUGUUCAUACCAGCCAAGGGAAAGACUCUGCAGAAGUUUUUGUUAAUGACCUGGACGACGAUGAUGAUGACAUACUUGAGGUAAUUCAUAUCUGUUUUAGUCUUUUAGACUCUGCAAAAGAUUUUGUAAUUAUGUGUUGAAUAAGGCUACUGCCGUAAAGAUCUAGAUGGAAGUUCACUAACUAGCAUGUGGUUGUUACAGUUCUACUAAGUGCUAUUUUGUAUGGUGACCUAAUUGCUUCUAGUCAAUCCAUGUUACUGGUUAUCUAUCAUUUGGACUACUUGUGUGUAAAAUUUGAACAUGGUGUUAUGUUUCUAUUUUACCGAAGGCUUAUGUUGUGGUGUCUUUGUUCAUGCAAAUGUUGAUUUACUGGUUAUCUAUCUUUUACUUUGGUUCAGAAUAUUGAUGUUGACCAGAUAGUGGAACAGUACCAAUCAAGUUGCACACCUCAACCAUCAAGUUUCAAGCUUCCACCCAUUACUCCCUUUAUAGAUAAAGAUAAUAGACAAGAGGCGACUAGUUUGCCACCAGAAUUGUGUUCAAAUUGCAGUCAUGGGUUUAAGGUAUGCUUAUCAUCCAUAUUCUGCUUUUUGUGGCUCCAUUUAAUCAUGUGGGCAGCUUAAUGUGCCUAAUUCCUGAAUCUGAUACAGAUAGGACUUUGCCCAGAAGCUGGAAGUCAUUUGCAGGAAAUGAAGGAUACCCUAAUUAUCAUAUCAAAUCAACUGCUUGAUGAUGUUAAUGACCUCAGCCCAGAACAAAUAAAUAAGCUUCGCCAAGAUAGGUUUGCAUACCACCCCCUUUCAUCUUGAUUUGAUUUCCUUUAGAGUCAAGGUAGAUCUUUUUAGAGGGGAUUGUGGAUAAAAAUAAAUAAGUGAAAGAAAAGAACUGGCGGACAGGGCCGACCCUGAGAAUUUGGGGGCCCCAGGCGAGUCUUCGAAGUGGGGCCCUAAAAUUCUCUGAUCUCCGGUUCUUUGUAUAUUGAUUUGUAUAAAAAAGAAUUCGCUAAAUACAUAAAAAGUUCUAUUUUCACAUCAAUAUCAUUAAAAAUUAAUAUCAAAAGAAGAUAAAUAUACAAACAUUAUUUAAACAUUACAUGAUUCACGUUUCACAAAUGUACUAAAUGUUUGCAGUCAACAGUCUAAGAUUGAGAGUGAAGAACAAUAAAACUUGAUCAUCAAGAGAGUAAAUAACAAUAAAACUUGAUCGAUGAGUAUAAUAAAUUCAACGCCAACUGUUUCUCUUGUGUUUUUUUUUCUUUUAAAAUCAACAUCACACUAACGAAUUGAAUAUUAAAAUAAUCCAUUGAAUAAAAAGUUAUUUAAAAGAAAAAUAUAAAUUCAAAGUUUUGAUUACCUUAAAGUACAAUAUUUAAGACCGUAUGAUAGUUGGUUUAAACAUUCAAUAGAAAUAGAGAGAAUGGGAAGUUGGUUUAAACAUUCGAUAUAAAUGGAAAGAAUGAGAAGUUGAAAGAAAAAAGAUUGUAAAGAGACUUGAGUUUUAUAACUUUAUAUGCAUUUGGACAGAUGGAUUGGAAGUAAAUUUGAAAAACAAGAAAAAUUUAGUGACUAAAAGACAGCUUCGUGUUUCGAACUCAACACCGGCAUUAAAUUUGAAAAACAAGAAAAAUCUAGUGACUGAAAGACAGUUUCGUGUUUCGAACUCAACAUCCCAAAAGAAAAAUGAAGCCAACAUUUCCACUGCACUAACAAAUGAAUUAUGAUAUUUCUUACCUUUUUUUGUAUUUAUAUGUUAAUUACAUGAUAUAAAAUUUUUUUGGGGCCCUUCUGAAGUGGGGGCCCUAUGCGGGCGCCUACUUGGGCUACCCUCAGGGCCGGCCUUGCUGGCGGAAAAAGUUCUGAUUUACCACAAGUCAUGUAGCAUGCAACAAAAGCUUCAGAAUGUUAUUUUUGGAUUUUUGGUUUGUUUUACAUUUAUUAUUAUUUGUUAUAUUUUACAAAGAGAUAAAGAAAACAGUGAAUUCCCAUUGUUAGGUUACAAAGAGAUAAAGAAAACAGCAGCUUGAUAAAUAUCUUUGUAACAACUCAUUGGAUGAAGAAAGACGAAAGUCACAUUUUUCUGCAUCAAAAGCAACUCAUUGGAUGAAUUUAUCCAGUUUCUCAAAAAAAAAAAAAAAAAAAAAAAAAAAGCAACUCCCAGGCCUUUCCAAUGUGAAACACCUCAACAAGCUGCAUUCAGGACUGAUCCCAUGAGAUUUGAUUCACAGGUUCAUCCACAUAAUGAGUCUGGAGGAUAUGAAAGAUGUAAUUCAUCAUCAGUUUCAUUCUCUUCUGUUGAUAGGCUUGGUUUCUCAUCUUGUCCUGUUGAGAAGGAACCAUGCAUUUCAAAGUUUGUUGAAGUUAACUACAUUGAAGGUUCCAAGGACAAAAAAUGGAGUAGUGAUAAUUUUCCGUGGACCAAUAAGCUGGAGGUGCUGGUCUAGAUCAUUUUCAUAUUUCGUAUUUGUAUUAUCUUUCAUUGUUAUAUUGUAAUUGUUGUUCUACUGCUACCACUUUCAGGAUGGUAACAAGAAAGUGUUUGGAAAUCACUCUUUCCGUCUCAACCAAAGAGAGGUCAUUAAUGCUACGAUGAGUGGCUAUGAUGUUUUUGUUUUAAUGCCAACUGGAGGGGGUAAGAGCUUGACAUAUCAGGUAAAAGAAUUUUUUUUUUUGGAACCUCUUAUGAGAUAUGGUCAUAUCCGUUUAAGGCUUACCAUAUAAACUGUUCACUUAGGAGCAGAUAUAUUGUUUGGUCAUCUUAAGUCUCUAGUCUUUAUUUGUAUGGUCAUGCUUAGUUUACUGGUUCAGUUUCUUUACCGCAAGCUCUUCAACAUUUGUAUCAUCCAUCAAUAUGUAGGCCAAGUACCUUGCAUCUCCAUCAUUUGUUCGUUGUAGAGUAGUCUCAUUCUUUACAGUAAAGUAGCCAUUAGACUGUCUAUACUAUAGAGUUUACUUGGGUUUAUGUAUCUUGUAGCUCCCUGCGCUAAUUUGUCAAGGAAUAACAUUGGUUAUUUCUCCCCUUGUGUCACUCAUUCAAGAUCAAAUAAUGCAUUUAUUGCAGGUAAUGUUUCAGUCCAUCCUUUAGUUCAUUUAACUGCUUCACUUCCUGGUAUCUAUUACAAUGUAUGCUUAUGUCCUGUUCUGGUAUGUGCUAGGCAAACAUUCCCGCUGCUUACCUAAGUGCCAAUAUGGAGUGGACUGAACAACAGGAAAUACUUAGAGAACUAAAUUAUGAAUAUUGUAAAUACAAGCUGUUAUAUGUCACCCCAGAGAAAGUUGCUAAGUGAGUAUUUGUUACCUAAUAUGCUUGCGGACAUGUUCAUUUGUAUUCUCUCUGUUACUUCAAAAACAGCACUUUAUUGGUAGGUAUAGUGUCAAUAGAAAGGUACUGGAAACUAACAAGUGUGUUAUUUACAAUUACUAUAUGUGAUUUAGCUCUUUCAGUAGUCGAACAUGACAAAUAUAUCUUACAACUGAAAUAAGUAAUUUGUGUUGUAUGCUAUUUAGGGAGGGAACUGUUAUUAGCACUCCAAAAAUCUCAUUCUACACUCCUUGCAAGUGUAUUUUUCUUUCUAAUUAUGGAAAGUUUGGAGUGCCAAAUGAGAUUUUUGGAGUGCUAAUACCAAUUCCCUUUAGGGAAUAUUAUUAAGUGGCAUUUAUUUCUGGCUGUUUAUUGUUGGAAUCAUUGAGAACACUAAACACUUUUUAUUUAAUUAUCUUCUGUUACUUGAAUACCCAGCCUUAUAAUAAUUUCUGUUGCAAUUGCAAAUUGAACGAUUGUUAUAGUGUAAGUACUGUGUCCUAAUCACCGCGCUGACUCUCUCUCUCUCGCUCUCUCUCAACUGAAAUCUGAGUUGCCGUGGUACUUCUCCAGGCGCCUCACUCCGCAUUCAAAUGUGAAGCAUUUCUAGUGUUUCAUUUCAGCAGGGCUUCUUUAUAUUAUUGCAAUUUUCAAGGUGUAAACUUCUCCCUUAUCAUCCCACUUCCAGCAAUCCCAAAUUUGCCAUAUUUUCCUUAAUCUUCAACCCCUUUUUCCUUCUCGCAGAAAGCCCGUCACCGAUUCAUUCAACCCGUAGCAGAUUUUGGCGCGAAGGAACUCCAUUGAUCCCGAAUACACAAAUGUGUUGGAGCAAUGAAUAGGACAUCGCAUAUGAGGCAAGAGUAAGAGGAACAAAGAAAUAUCCUUUUUACUUUGCAUUAUAUUCCCAUUGCUUCCUUUGUUACUUAUUCGGAAUUCGGGUAUGUGCAGUGCAGUCGUCCCAAUCUGGGUCAAGAUUUCUGUGCCCAGACGCCUGUUAAAGCUAAUUUGUUGGAACAUGUCAAUCCACUCGAUAAUUUCUCGUGCCCGCAUAAUGUUCUGAGCUCAAAUUUCAUUUUCUCCUUACCAACGCAAAACCCUCAUGCCAAAAAGGCAAUGGGUUCCUGGUAUGUCGCGGUUAUACGUGUUUUUUUUUUUUUCAUUUUUGUUUCCUUUUUUUCUACUGUUUUUUCAUUUUAUCUUGAGGAUUACUUGUUAUUUGGUGACAAGUGACAACUUGACACCAGUUUUUGUUUUGGUUGGGUAAAAAUAUAGUUGCAGGAUUUAUUGUUUGUUUCCGCUACUUUAAGUUUCAUCUACCUUGGUGAUCAGGGCCAGUUCUGAGAUUUUAAGGGUAUGGGUCCCUACAUAAAAGAAUCCCACUAUAGCAAAGCUAAUUUAUACAUCUAUAGUCGUAUUAAUAUGGUAUCUAAAUAAGGAAUUAUUACUCGUGAGUUAUAGUUCAAGUCAACAGUAAUCAUGAAAAUAUAACACGAUUUAGAGCAAAGCCAUCUGAACUAAACUAAGAAACAUAAAAUGAUUCGUCUUAUACAGAUGGAGGCCAUUAUUUUUCUUAUUCAUAUACAAAUCCUAAAAAAUUUCCCUUCGAUGAAUUCUUUUUACACAAACCAAGUUGGUACAUACAUACAUAUGAUGUCAUCAUUUAGGACGGCAAAGUACUCAGUUUUAACAUUUUUGCCUAGAAAUUUGUUUGAACAGUUUCAUAGGGUAGCAUACAUAUAUUUUCUUGUGAUUGCUGUGCUCAAUCAGCUCACCCAGCUGGCGGUUUUGGCCGUGGAGUUUCCAUAUUGCCAUUGGCAUUUGUGUUUCUUGUUACUUCUGUUAAGGAUGCCUACGAGGACUAUAGGCGGCAUUGAUCUGAUAGAAUUGAGAACAAUCGUCUGGCAUCAGUUUUGGUUGGUAACCAGUUCCAGUCGAAAAAGUGAGGCUAUACCUUGUGAUAUGGUACUGCUUUCGACGAGUGAUCCAACUAGGGUUGCUUAUGUGCUGACUAUCAAUUUAGAUGGGGAGUCAAACUUGAAGACGCGGUAUGCAAAACAAGAAACCCUCUCCAAGUUGCCUGAUAAGGAGAAGAUUACUGGGUUGAUUAAGUGUGAAAAUCCCAACAGGAACAUCUAUGGCUUUCACGCAUUCAUGGAAAUUGAUGGGAAGCGGUUGUCACUGGGACCCUCUAACAUUGUACUUCGAGGGUGUGAGCUUAAGAAUACUCAUUGGGCACUUGGAGUUGCUGUAUAUGCCGGUCGUGAGACCAAAGUUAUGCUCAAUAGCUCUGGAGCCCCAUCCAAGAGGAAUCGCCUUGAGACCUGUAUGAACUUUGAGAUCAUUUUGCUCUCUGUGUUUCUUGUUACUUUGUGUACAGUUGUCUCAUUAUGUGCUGCUGUUUGGUUGAGCCGCAACAAUGAUAAGUUGGAUGACAUACUUUUCUACAGGAAGAAGGACAACUUGGAUGAGAAAUUGGACGAUCAUAACUAUUAUGGAUGGGGUUUAGAGAUUCUUUUCACGUUCCUUAUGUCUGUCAUUGUGUUCCAGGUCAAGAUCCCCAUCUCGUUGUACGUUUGUAUGGAGCUUGUCCGGGUGGGUCAGGCUUACUUCAUGAUCAGGGAUGGUCAAAUGUAUGAUGAGGCCUCUAAUUCAAGAUUUCAGUGCCGAGCUUUGAAUAUCAAUGAAGAUUUAGGACAAAUUAAGUAUGCAUUCUCAUUUCUCAGACAAAACUGGUACGCUGACAGAAAAUAAAAUGGAAUUUCAAUGUGCAAGCAUUUGGGGAGUAGAUUAUAACGGUGGGAGAAGCAGUUUGGAGCAAGUGGGGUACUCUGUUGAAGGUAAUAAAUGUUUUUCUUUUGAUUAUGUUUUCUUCUGAUUAGUACUUCCAAUUGUUUUACUAGUUUGCAAUUUCUUAUUUUUCUUGUUUGGUAUCAGUUGAUGGGAAAAUUUUGAGGCCAAAGAUGAAGGAGAAGGCUGACCCAGAACUUCAGCAAUUACUCAGAAGUGGAAUGGACACAAAUGAAGGCAAACAUGUGUACGAGUUCUUCCUGGCAUUGGCAGCUUGUAAUACCAUUGUGCCUCUUGUUGUAGACACGCCUGAUCCAAAUGUGGGAUUAUUAGAUUACCAAGGGGAGUCCCCAGAUGAACAAGCAUUGGUUUAUGCUGCUGCCGCCUAUGGUUUUAUGCUUAUUGAAUGAACCUGUGGUCAUAUAGUUAUUGAUAUCCAAGGGGAUAGGAAAAGGUAAUUUGACAACGUCUUUUUAAUUAAUUUAUAUAAUAUAUAGAUACUUUUGACUUUGAGUAAUCAUGCUUGUGUAAUCCCUGUGAUUACAAUCUAGUAAAUUAAUACUGAACUUCCUUUAGAGAAUGAAGACCUUUUAUUUCUCGUUCAUAACUUACCAUAACCGGGCAGUGCAGGUUCAAUGUCUUGGGUUUGCAUGAGUUUGAUAGUGAUCGGAAGAGAAUGUCGGUUAUAUUGGGGUGCCCUGAUAAGACUGUCAAAGUCUUUGUAAAAGGUGCUGAGACAACCAUGUUCAGUGUAAUAGACAAACGAUUGAACUUGGAUAUAAUACAAUUACGAGCAACAGAAGCCCAUAUUCAUGCUUGCUCCUCUUUGGGUUUGAGAACACUUGUGGUAGGCAUGAGAGAACUGAGUGCUACAGAAUUCGAGCAGUGGCACUUGUCUUUUGAGGAAGCAAGCACUGCUUUAAUUGGUAGGGCUGCUCUACUUCGCAAGGUUGCGGGCAACAUAGAAAACAAUCUCGUUAUACUAGGUGCCUCUGGCAUUGAAGAUAAACUGCAACUGGGGGUGCCUGAAGCCAUAGACUCUCUAAGAACAGCAGGGGUUCAGGUAUGGGUUUUGACAGGGGACAGGCAAGAAACUGCCAUAUCAAUCGGCUACUCAUCAAAGCUUCUAACAAGAAGAAUGACAGAUUAUAAUUAACAGUAGCUCUAAGGAUUCAUGUCGAAGGAGUUUAGAGGAUGCUGCACUAAUGUCUAGGAAGCUCGUGACGGUGUCUGCAGAUACACACACUGACGGAGGAAACUCUGGACAUGGUGGUACUCAAGUAGCUUUAAUUAUUGACGGCACCAGCCUCGUGUAUAUUCUUGACAGCGAACUUGAGGAAAAGGUAAUUGCUUUUAGACCUAUCUAUUUAGUUUACUACAUAUCUAGACAAUGCCAUAUGUGUUUUUUUAUUGUGAGAUGAUGUCUUAAAUGCUGAUCUAACAUAUUUUAACCGUAGCUCUUUGAACUAGCAAGUAACUGUGCUGUGGUGCUUUGUUGCCGAGUGGCUCCAUUGCAAAAGGCUGGAAUUGUAGCCCUUGUGAAGAACAGGACAACUGAUAUGACACUUGUCAUUGGGGAUGGUAAACACUAUUCUAUUUAUUUUACUUAUGUAGAUAUCUUAUGUUUCCAAUACCAGAAUUAGUAUCUUAUGCCCACUCUCAUUUACAUUUGGUGUUGACAGUAGAAAGUUCUUUUUGUUAUCUUGAUAGGUGCUAAUGACGUUUCAAUGAUCCAAAUGGCUGAUGUGGGAGUUGGCAUCAGUGGCCAAGAAGGUCAGCAAGCUGUCAUGGCAUCAGAUUUUGCAAUGGGGCAGUUCAGAUUCUUAGUUCCCCUUUUAUUGGUACAUGGCCAUUGGAAUUACCAGCAGAUGGGCUACAUGAUAUUAUACAAUUUCUAUAGGAAUGCAGUGUUUGUUCUUAUUUUGUUUUGGUGAGUAAUACUUCGUUGGAUAAAUUAUCAUUUAGUUACAAAUUGUUGUUCUGCAGAUUACAAUUGUUUUCCUUGAGCCUGAACUUUGACUUGGACUUUGUUUUUCUUUUAAAAAUUAAAUUAACAAAAUACUAGGGAGAGGAUUACACAUGGUUGUCUAUGUUAGAAUUCACUGUCAUUGAGAGGAAGAAUCUCUGGCUUCCAUUAUAAAAAAAUCAUCAUCUAAUUUCUAGCUAGAAAUCUUGUGGAAAUGACAUUUGAACUUGAUGCUAAAAGUUUGAAGCUAGUCAGAUUUGGAUACAUUUGCGUCAAAGUAGGUCUAUGUGUUACAAAUUAUAAUUGACGUUGAGAUCAUGCUGUGACAAUUUUUUAAUUUUUGUGGAAAGGGAGGACUGAAGGGAGCUAACCAGUAAAUGAAAAUAAAAGAAAGAAGAAUCUGUAUGAAGUCUUUCUUAUUAUUGUAGCUGAUUAUAUUUCGUGUGGUCCUUGUAGGUACGUGCUCUUCACUUCUUUCACUUUGACAACUGCAAUCACUGAAUGGAGCAGCAUGUUGUAUUCUAUAAUCUACACUGCAGUACCUACAAUUGAUGCUAUACCUUCCCUGGUUGGCUACUGGUAUGCCCUCUAAUCUAGUUGUAUUGCGUGUAUAUCUUUAUUUUUGCACAAACAUAACGGCGUGUAUGACACCCGAACUUGUUUAAAGUUGCACAAACAAACAUAACUGCAUCUAACUCGUGUGUAUCUUUAUCUUUGGUUAAGUGUUAAACUCAUUAUCCGCAGCUCAUGGUAGAACAUGAUAUUUGUUAUCUUUUUCCCCUCUCUCCUAGAAAUAGCGAACAAGCCAUCUAAGAAAUCGCCAUUUCCAGUUUUAUUAUUGUACUUUUUUUUUUUUGUUGGAGCAAAAGCUCCGCACACAUUUCUGAAGUUGUCUAUGGCACUUGCAUUUGUAUAUUCUAAACUUUGCACUCCAAUAUAAUUUGACAGGGCCAUUUUUCAAGUCGCAAAGACUGCAUCGUUUUGGUUAUGUUUGUUGGCAAUCGUCACAGGCGCGAUCGCUCCACGCUUUGUUGUAAAGUUUUUGUAUCAGUACUAUAGACCUUGUGAUGUUCAGAUUGCAAGAGAAUUUGAGAAGUUUGGCAAUCCAAGCGCGUCAAACCCCGCACAAAUAGAGAUGGAUGCGAUCUUGGACCUGCGUAGGAGAUGAGAAGGUGAUAUUAUUGCUUUCGACAUCUCCUUUUUUGUAUCUUUUGUAAAAAUGUUAUUCUUUAGGCUGCUUCAGAGUAUCUCUCUCCUAGUUGCCUCAUUGUUCAUUGUUUGCUAUCCGAAGGAUAGGGUUUGUAACUUUGUAGUGCUAGCCUUAUAUUUUGUGUUCCUCUUUUGUUUUGUUGUACCUUAAGAUUCAUUCGGUGUAAUUAGACUUGUUUAAAAGAGAAAAAAAAAAUUAGACAAUCGAUACAAUACAUGAAUUUUACCACAUAAGUUUUGAUUGUGUUCAGAUUGAAUCCUUCAUACCAACUUGAAAUUGACCAAAAAAUACAGGGGUUUCAAGUGUUAGAGAACAGAUGUAGGACAGUGUCCUACAUCGGAGAUACAAAAAAUAAUAUAUGAAUUAUACGUGGGAGGUUCACCGCAAAAUAUCACUAAAUUCUUUUGUGAUAAAACUUACACUUAGUAAUAGAUGGUAGGCAACAUGAUAAACCUCACAUCUAGUAAUGAUAGGACUAAAAAGUGUCAUGGUAUUGCUGUAAGAGCAUGUUAUUCUUCUGACACAAAAAGUUGUGUUUGCUCCGGCAUAAUAAAUGAGUUAUUGGUUUGUAAUCCCACCCCUAGGAAAUGAGAUAAAAAAAAUAGGGAUGUGCCAUCUACACACCCUUUGUUAAUUUUUGUCCGUUGAUCUUUUUCAAUUCAUUCAACUCCGCCUAUGUCUUACAUGGCCGGUCCCAAGCCCGGAUAAAGGAGGAGGGGGAGGGCGUCAGGUAGUCGACAGCCGGCACUCCAUGAUCACGUCGAAUCCUUAUGAAAAUGAAUCCAGAACAAAAUUGCGCUAAAGCUAGGGCGUCACCCGUAAGUGGCGCGCUGUGUGGCCCGAGCACAGUGAUAAGUGAGCAAGGGUCGCUGUAUCUCCAUUGGCACCCGGAUGCAGUGUUAAAUGAGCAAGGGGGCCAUAGAAACUUCUUUUCGAACGACUCCACUCAAAGUUGUUUGGGAGCAUAUGCUCCUAUCAACUUUACCCGGGACACACAAAAGAAGUACUUUGAUCCUAUUAGACGGGGGAGGGUGAAGAAGCUAGGACAGAAGGGUAGAGUUCAAGAGAGCAAAAUGCGUUUAGGAACGUGGAAUAUAGGAACCUUAACGGGAAAAUCUAUGGAAGUAGUGGAAGUUAUGGUGAGGAGAAGGAUAAAUAUUAUAUGCCUACAAGAAACUAAGUGGGUUGGUAGUAAGACAAAGGAUCUAGAAAACUUAGGGUUUAAACUUUGGUAUUCGGGCACAAAUAGAACGAGAAACGGUGUUGGCAUCAUCGUGGACAAGACCUUGGUACAAGAUGUUGUAGAUGUCAAGAGGGUAGGAGAUAGAAUCAUGGCAAUCAAGAUUGUAAUAGGACAAGAACUUAUCAAUGUGAUUAGUGCGUACGCACCUCAAGUAGGGUUGGAUACGAGUUCGAAGGAGAAAUUUUGGGAAGAUCUUGGAGACUUGGUGCAAGGAAUUGCUCAGACGGAGAAGUUAUUUAUAGGAGGAGAUUUAAAUGGACACGUGGGCAGGGAGACAGGCAACUAUGGAGGUUUUCAUGGUGGCCAUGGUUUUGGGGAGAGAAACGAGGAUGAGGAAGCUAUCUUGGAUUUUGCAAUGGCAUAUGAUCUCUUCUUAGCCAACACCUUCUUUAAGAAGAGAGAAGAACAUGUGAUCACCUACAAAAGUGGGUCGUCAAAAACACAAAUAGAUUUUCUUCUAAUGAGGAAAGGGGAUCGUAUAACUUGUAAGGAUUGCAAAGUUAUACCAGGAGAGAGCGUGGCUAAUCAACAUCGCUUGUUGGUGAUGGAUGUACAUAUCAAAAGAGUAAGACAAAAGAACAAGACUUGGAAGUGCCCAAGGACUAGAUGGUGGAAUCUAAAAGAAGAAAAACAAGUCAUUUUCAAAGAGAAGGUAAUCACCCAAUGUGUGUGGGAUAGAGAGGGGGAAGCUAGCCAAAUGUGGGAUUCCAUGGCUAGUUGUAUCCGAAAAGUAGCAAAAGAGGUAUUAGGAGAGUCCAAGGGCUUUGCCCCACACCAAAAGGAAUCUUGGUGGUGGAAUGAGGAGGUACAAACAAAGGUGAAGGCUAAGAAGGAAUGUUGUAAAGCCUUAUACAAGGAGAGGACCGAUGAAAAUGGUGAAAGGUAUAGAAAAGCGAAGCAAGAGGCGAAGAAAGCUGUUAGAGAAGCUAAGUUAGCGGCUUACGACGAUAUGUAUAAACGACUAGAUACCAAAGAAGGAGAGUUGGAUAUCUAUAAACUAUCUAGAGCAAGGGAAAAGAAGACAAGGGACCUAAACCAAGUGAGGUGCAUCAAGGAUGAGGAUGGAAAGGUUCUUGCUACAGAGAACGCGGUUAAAGACAGAUGGAGAGGUUAUUUUCAUAAUCUUUUCAAUGAUGGACAUGAAAUGAGUGCUUCUUUAGGGGAGUUGAGUAACUCAGAAGAGUGUAGAAACUACUCUUUUUAUCGUCGAAUUCGGAAGGAAGAAGUGGUUGUAGCUUUGAAGAAGAUGAAGCAUAAAAAAGCAAUAGGCCCAGACAAUAUACCAAUCGAAGUGUGGAAACUUUUGGGAGAGACAGGUAUAACAUGGCUCACUGACCUUUUCAAUAGGAUUUUGAAAACGAAGAAGAUGCCAAAUGAGUGGCGAACGAGCACUUUGGUGCCUAUCUACAAGAAUAAGGGCGACGUACAAAAUUGCAUGAACUAUAGGGGUAUUAAGCUAAUGAGUCAUACAAUGAAGCUCUGGGAGAGAGUCAUUGAGCAUAGAUUGAGGCAAGAGACACGGGUUUCGAACAACCAAUUCGGGUUCAUGCCAGGGCGCUCAACCAUGGAGGCAAUCUAUCUCUUACGAAGAUUGAUGGAAAGAUAUAGAGAUGGGAAAAAGGAUUUACACAUGGUCUUUAUAGAUUUGGAAAAAGCGUAUGAUAGGGUCCCAAGAGACAUUCUUUGGAGGAUUUUAGAGAAGAAAGGAGUACGAGUAGCAUAUAUCCAAGCUAUAAAGGAUAUGUAUGAAGGAGCAAAGACUGCCGUAAGAACUCAUGAAGGACAAACCGAAAGCUUUCCCAUAACUGUAGGAUUACAUCAAGGCUCAUCCUUAAGUCCUUACCUUUUUGCGUUGGUAAUGGAUGAGUUAACAGGACAUAUUCAAGAUGAUAUUCCUUGGUGUAUGCUUUUCGCAGACGAUAUAGUGUUGAUAGAUGAAACUCAGGAAGGGGUAAAUGCAAAGCUUAACCUUUGGAGAGAAGUGUUGGAAUCUAAAGGUCUUCGCCUAAGCCGAUCAAAGACAGAAAUAUAUGGAGUGCAAGUUCAGUGCAAAUGGAGGCCAAAACGAGUUAGGGGUGAGGAUCGGAGAUCAAGAAAUACCAAAGAGCGACCGUUUUCGUUACCUAGGAUCUAUCUUGCAAAAGAACGGAGAAUUAGAUGGAGAUCUCAACCAUAGAAUACAAGCUGGAUGGAUGAAGUGGAAGAGUGCAUCCGGCGUGUUGUGUGACCGCCGUAUGCCACUGAAGCUCAAGGGAAAAUUUUAUAGGACGGCAAUAAGGCCGGCGAUGCUGUAUGGCACAGAAUGUUGGGCGGUGAAACAUCAACACGUACACAAAAUGGGUGUAGCGGAGAUGAGGAUGCUUCGUUGGAUGUGUGGGCACACGAGAAAGGAUAAGAUUAGGAAUGAGGAUAUCCGGGGUAAAGUAGGAGUAGCCGAAAUUGAAGGAAAGAUGAGAGAAAAUCGGUUACGGUGGUUUGGACAUGUGCAAAGAAGGCCUACUGACGCUCCGAUUAGAGAAGAUGCGACUAUGGACAGAGGUUCAGGGCCGAAGGGGUAGAGGAAGACCUAGGAAAACUUUGGAAGAGACUCUAAGAAAAGACUUAGAGUACUUGGAUCUAACGAAGGACAUGACACAGGAUCGAGCACAAUGGCGUUCUAAGAUUCAUAUAGCCGAUCCCACUCAGUGACUUGGAUUUUCCAAGUCUCCAACCGAGAAGUUUUCCUCACUCGGGAAAUUAAGGGAACACUACCCCAACCUACAUGCUCCACUCAGAAAGCUUCAACAUACAAGCUUCAACAAAAGAAAAUUCAAAGAACUUAGCGAAGAAGGCUUUGGUGUAUUUAACACAAUACGUUGAAAUGAAGGAAAGCUUAUUUAUUGAUAUCCCCGAUAAGCUACAAAUAUGUACAUAUACGAGUCAAAAUAAACACACAAGAGGGAGCCUUCACAAAGGUUGCUUAGGAGAAGUCUCAGCAGUCGGUAGAGCCCCAAAAAGAGAAGGCACCGGAGGGGGAUCAUUUGGAGCCUCAGUACUGGACAGAACCCUAGAAUGAGGAGGCAUCAGAGGUUGAUCAUUCGGAGCUUCAUUACGCGGUACAGCCCCAGAAGACGAAGGCAAUAAAUGCCUUUGGAACAAACCCACAAAUCUCUGAUGAUCAAGUAAAACCUGACCAUCAGUUUCCUUUAUCUGGUCAAGCUUCCUCUUCAUGUUUGUAGCAUAGUCAUGUGCGAGCCGGUGCAACUGUUUAUUCUCAUGCUUGAGCCCUCUAAUCUCCUGUUUGAGACUCAUCACUUCAGCCGCCAAUGAUUCAACUUGGCGGGUUCGAGCAAAUAGGCGUUGGGCCAUAUUAGACACAGAACCUGCACACUGAACACUGAGAGCCAGCGAAUCCUUAACAGCUAACUCAUCAGACCGUUGGGAAAGUAGUCUGUUAUCUUUGGGAGUGAGAAGGUUCCUGGCCACCACCGCAGCGGUCAUAUCAUUCUUCAUCACGGAAUCCCCAACGGUAAGAGGACCAGUAGGGGAGACGAAGGAUGGGCGCCAUAUGUUGUCUGGAGAAGGCGGGGCUGCCUCUUCAACAAGGUUCAAGUCAAAACGACGGUCGGAGGGGCCAGACAUUUUCAAAGGUGUUGAAGAGAGAGAGAAGAGGUCGGACAAAUCAAGAUCUUAGAAGUGCAAGAAUGAAGCUUCUACUGGUGGAGAUUCAAGUGUGCUUUGGAACUUAAUGCCAGCCCCUAUAAAAAUCUGCACUCGACGGAGCUUCAGAAAUCGAAGAGGCGCCUGCUCAGAAAUCGAAGAGGCGUUUGCUUUCUCAAAAGCUGGGCUGCUUAGAAAUCACGAGGGUUGAUCUCAGAAAUCGAAGAGGCGUUUGCUUUCUCAAAAGUUGGGCUGCUUAAAGACCACGAAGGCCGAUCUCAGAAAUCGAAGAGGCGCUCGCUUUCUCAAAAGCUGGGCUUCCCAGAGACCACGAGGGCCGAUCUCAGAAAUCGAAGAGGCACCUACUUUUUCAGCCUUGUCAGCACCUGUCACACGCACACUCAGCUUUGCAGAAAUUAUUGGCAUUCUGUCGAAGACUUCUGGGGAAGUAGAAAGCACAUGAAUCUUACUGUUCAAUCACCCACUUCCCACACGCAACAAUAGCUCAUGGGUACCACAGAUAACUUUGCCCAAGUUCUCUGCCAAAGUUGAGCACGUGAAGCUUGCAGCUCCCACUACAUCGCUCUGACCAAGAAGGGUAAAAGAAUAGCAAAGAAACAGCACUAACAAAGUUUAGACCCAUAAAUUUUGAAGGUCUAGCUACCAUAUUAUUACCCACAAGGGUAAAGGAACAGUACCACUGCUGGAUAAUUGGAAAGUCCCUGUGUGUCAACCUCUGUGCUUCGUGGCAAGGUAGACUAGCAAACAUGCCCAACCUUUACUCACAUUCGAGAAAACACUCCCAAUAAGAUUGCUUGCUCCAAAAUCGAAGAGGCACCGUCCUCCGAAUCUCGAGAGCCAGACUCCCAACAUGACUACUUUCUUAAAUUCGAAGAGAGGGUAAAGGAACAGUACCAUUGCUGGAUAAUUGGAAAGUCCCUGUGUGUCAACCUCUGUGCUUCGUGGCAAGGUAGACUAGCAAACAUGCCCAACCUUUACUCACAUUCGAGAAAACACUCCCAACAAGAUUGCUUGCUCCAAAAUCGAAGAGGCACCGCCCUCCGAAUCUCGAGAGCCAGACUCCCAACAUGAUUACUUUCUCAAAAAUCGAAGAGACACUUCUCCCCGAAUCUUCGAGAGCUAGACCCCCAGCAUGAUUGCUUUCUCAAAAAUCGAUGAGGCAUCGUUUUCCAAAUCAAUCGAAGAGGCGCUCGCUUUCUCAAAAGCUGGGCUGCUCAGAGACCACGAGGGCCGAUCUCAGAAAUCGAAGAGGCACCUACUUUUCUAGCCUUGUCAGCACCUGUCACACGCACACUCAGCUUUACAGAAAUUAUGGGCAUUCUGUCGAAGACUUCUGGUGAAGUAGAAAGCACAUGAAUCUUACUGUUCAAUCACCCACUUCCCACACGCAACAAUAGCUCAUGGGUACCACAUAUAACUUUGCCAAAGUUCUCUGCCAAAGUUGAGCACGUGAAGCUUGCAGCUCCCACUACAUCGCUCUGACCAAGAAAGGUAAAAGAAUAGCAAAGAAACAGCACUAGCAAAGUUUAGACACAUAAAUUUUGAAGGUCUAGCUACCAUAUUAUUACCCACAAGGGUAAAGGAACAGUACCACUGCUGGAUAAUUGGAAAGUCCCUGUGUGUCAACCUCUGUGCUUCGUGGCAAGGUAGACUAGCAAACAUGCCCAACCUUUACUCACAUUCGAGAAAACACUCCCAACAAGAUUGCUUGCUCCAAAAUCGAAGAGGCACCGUCCUCCGAAUCUCGAGAGCCAGACUCCCAACAUGACUACUUUCUCAAAAGCGAAAAGAGGGUAAAGGAACAGUACCAUUGCUGGAUAAUUGGAAAGUCCAUGUGUGUCAACCUCUGUGCUUCGUGGCAAGGUAGACUAGCAAACAUGCCCAACCUUUACUCACAUUCGAGACAACACUCCCAACAGGAUUGCUUGCUCCAAAAUCGAAGAGGCACCGCCCUCCGAAUCUCGAGAGCCAGACUCCCAACAUGAUUACUUCCUCAAAAAUCGAAGAGACACUGCUCUCCGAAUCUCGAGAGCCAGACCCCCAGCAUGAUUGCUUUCUCAAAAAUCGA
rnacentral:lncRNA from 1 species